rnacentral:lncRNA from 1 species
AGUAAUCUUCACCUUCAAUUCCAUAAGAGUAGUGCUUGGUAUAGAUAAAGAUGAGAGAAAAAGAUGAGAGAAAGACGAGAGAAAUUUGCUCUCUCUACCCACCCACCCUACUCUCUCUUCUCUUUUGUUCUUUUUUCUCUUAUCUUUAGCUGUACUUAGCAUUUUUCUUCGAUAAAAGGCCUCCUCCUAAUCUCUCUGUCAAGGUAAUAAUGAUUAUAAUUGCUCCCUUUAGCUUUUUGGUUUUUUUUAAAUUAAAAUUUAUUUUACCGAUUAAUCUAGCUGCUAUGAUGCUGUGCUAUGUCGAUUAAUUCGCAAAUUGGAUUUUUUUUAAUUAUUAUUGUUUAUCUUGACAUGGUGAUAUGCUAUUUAUAAGCUUUUCAUUAGCUGUAAUUUUUUUAGGCGAUAGCUUAUUUGUUGUUUGAGGUUAUAAUUAUGGCGAUUUAACACUCAAAUCAGCCUCGUUGAUUCUAUUUAGGGUUUUGAUUUGAUGGUGUUAUAGUACUCUCCCGGAGAUAAUUUUGAAUUUGUUGGUGUUAAUUAUAGGCAUAUCUUGUAAUUCUAUAAGAUUUGUGGAAAAAAAUUAAUUAAAAAAAGAAAAAAGAAAAAGAUGUGCCCAAAUCUUAUGAUUGAUCGUUCUUGAAAAUCUCUUUUUUAUUUUUUGAUCUAUCUAGAGAUGUACAACUUUUAUAGGUUUUCUAUCAGUUUUUUUCCUAGAGAGACCUGCCCGAAGGUGUCUUUGAAUUAUGUAGUGACUAUAUCUUAUACAAUUCUGUGUUGUUGGUUAUGUUAAUAUUGUUUGUUUUGUAUGGAUAUAUUCCGAUAUGGUGUUUCUUUGUGAAAACCCUCACCGGCAAGACGAUUACUCUUGAGGUGGAAAGCUUCGGCACCGUUGAUAAUGUCAAAGCUAAGAUCCAGGACAAAAGGGAUUCCACCAGAAGGAAGGGAUUCCACCAGACCAGCAGAGGCUUAUCACUAUAACUUUGGUGGUCCAAAGCUCUGACACAAUCGACAAUGUCAAGGCUAAGAUCCAAGACAAGGAGGGCAUGCCACCUGAUCAACAGAGUUUGAUCUUUGCCGGCAUACAACUUGAAGAUGGUCGUACUCUAGCUGACCAUCCACUCUGCAUCUUGUGCUCCGUCUCCGUGGAGGUUUCUGAGUUUGGUCAUCUGGGUGUGUGUGUGUCUUAUUUGCUUCGGUUUGUCAUGGUUAAUGUUUGCUUGCCAUUGGUGAAAUGGCUUAAAUAAGUUGCGAUAACUAUUUUAAGUUUAUUUUGGUUUGUGGUUGUUGAACUCUGUUUUUAAGAUAUUGAUAUGGUCCCACUAAGGUCGCAUUAUAAUAUCUAAGAAUCUUUUUUCUUUAUAAAUACAUGUUUAAUGCACAUUACUUAUACUGGUUGAUCGCCCAUUUCUUGUUUGAUAUCUGUGUUGGUGUUUCGAUUUAUUUCAAUUAAACAAAGUGUAAAUGUAUCUGCAUUUUCUUCUAAAUUCUAAUGGAGUUGGGGAAGCAUCAAUCAACCCCCUUAUAAAAUGACAAUUUUGGUGUUUAUGGUGAGGGAAAAUUUUCAGAAAAACAAAAUCCCGAGGGCUCAAAUGUUUGCCUAAUUUAGCCUAUCUCAUCGGCACUUAAAAACUUUUUCAUCGCUGGUCUUACAAAUGAAGCCUGAAACCGUGUACCAUUGCAUAUUCAAUUUCUAAUUUUCCGGUUAUUCUUCUGCCUGUGCAGCUUGGCUGUUUGGCGGCUUCAUGGCCAUCAAUAGUCACCAUCGUUUUUGCUGAACUAUGUACAACAUUUGGAUCAAGCAAUGGUUAGUUACAACAAGAUUUGUGGAAAUUCUCUUUUAAUUCUUCUUCUUCUUCUUAUGGCAUCGACUCUUCUGUUUUCUUCUACAGGUAUUGCCAAAUGUCAUCGCCGAAUAUCUGUAAGUCACUUUUAUUUAUGUAUAUUUUGUAAAUUAAUGGAUAAUUUUGUUUGGUUCGUUUGCCUGUGUAUUAAUUUAUCUGGAAAAAAACAGUAGGAGAGAGCCUUGAGGGUAUCAGGGGUUUGUUUGAUUUGAAAAAAAAUGUGCACUGUGUUGAUUUGAAAAACCGAAAGCAAAUGUCAUCUAUCUCUUCCUCUGUGAUUGUUAAGAGUGUGUAUGCGUGAGUGUUUGUUGGGCUACGUGGUUUUAGUUGAAGGUUGUAUAUAUCAUACAUGUGUCCAUAUGCACAGCGUGUGUGGAUUACAAGGAACUGUAAGGUGUUUUGUAUAUUUUGAAACUAUUGCUAACUAAUUAUCUGGUGUAUAUUGAUUUUGGGAUUAUUAUUAUGUAUUUGGUCAGUGAGUAAAAAUAAACAUGUGUCCAUAUGCACAUCGUGUGUGGAUUACAAGAACUGUAAGGUGGUUUGUAUAUUUUGAAACUAUUGCUAACUAAUUAUCUGGUGUAUAUUGAUUUUGGGAUUAUUAUUAUGUAUUUGGUCAGUGAGUAAAAAUAAACACAGGGGAAGGAAAUGUUACUGGUAGUAGUAUGUUAUUCAUGUUUUUGGUUUGUAGUUCAGUAGUUACUUUUGCAACUGAACUGGAACUCUGUUGAAUAGUCAAGGACUUUAAGCUGAAUGAAGAUUUUAGUUGAUUAUGUCACUAGUAGUAAACAAAAAAAUAUAAUGCUGAACUUGAAACAUUGCAGUAGUUUGUUGUGAUAAACAAGAAUAGGCAUUCCUACUCAUCGACGUUGUUUAAAUUGGCAAUUAGGGGUUUUGUAGAUAAAAAAUUUUCAUCGAAAACUAAGAAUUCUAAAUUUCUUGUGAUUUGUGGGGAGAAAGGAUUGUAGGAGAAGAUUAAAUUGGUUCCUAUUGAUUUGCAAAACAGGCCUAAUUGGUACAAGAAGAAAGUCUAUCUAGCGAUCAAGGUGAGAUUAAUAGGAAUGCAACAUAUUAAGAGCGGAGAGUUGCUUGAUUGUAUCAUGGAAAUGAUGGUGGGUAAUGAAUAACUUUGUUUGAUUAGCAUUGAAAUCACUCAAGAGUAAUCGGGAACUUCAUUUGAUUAUCCUAAUAAGUUUGUCAAUUGCUUCAUUUUUCUUUUCUGUAUUCAUUUAUUUGAUUUUUUAUGUAGGUGCCAUCAUUGGAACACAAUAAUGAAGUUAAAGGAGAGUCUCAGUUUGAUGAAAUACAUUGACAGUCACUUUGAAGGGCCUUCUCUUUUCCCUGAUGGAAGAUUUAAAGAGAACACUAUUACUUGUUUUCUGCAAUUUUUUUUCAGAUGCAUAACUUUUGCUUCAUAAGAGAAUUUGCAGAAGAGUUGUUUUCCUGCACUGACACAUUCAAUGAAACCGCGCGUUCUUCGCUCGAAGGAGAUGGAAAUAAAGCCUGUGAGUUGCUCACUUACCAUAGAACUUCUUUAUUCUAACUGAAGCACUUGUAACACAUUGGCAAACUGUAUCAGGUGCUGCAUUUGAUUAUUUUGAAAUGCCUCUCUCCGAGUUCAAUGAUGGGCCUUUUCUUCUAGGCCAGUUCAGCCUAGUAAGUGAAAAUCUUAUCCUCAUUGUGGCAGUUUUGCUAGCUUUUUGCCAUUUAAUGAUUCCUAUAUUCAUAAAGCAUGGAAAGCUAGAUCACAGUAGUGAGCUCCUAAUGCAAUAUAGAAUCGUAUAGACUUUGCUGCAGUUUCAGCAAUCCAUUAUGUUUGGUAUAACUGGAUUUAUUGAUUACUAUGAAAGUAGAAUAAAUUUAAUUUGUGCUUGAUCUUUGUUUAUAGGCGGAUAUAGCUUAUGCUCUAUUCAUUGAAAGAUGUCAGCCUUUCUUAUUGGAAGUGAAGAAGUAUGACAUCACUGCAGGGAGGCCUCAACUGGCUACUUGGAUUGAGGUAUAAGGAAUUUGCUUAAAUGUAUUGAAUAGUCAAGUAUUUUAUUAAGUAAUAGUUAACACAUGGAAAUAAUGUAAACGAAAUCUUUUAUAAUUUUUCACUGAUAUUUCAUGUUGUUAAUUAAUAUGCUCUGUAGGAGAUGAAGAAUGAGGCACUUUCAAUCAAACCCGCCGUGAUCCUAAGGAACUUGCUCAAACCUUCAAGAAACAAUUUGUUGUAUUCCCAAUUUAUUACAUUAUGAAAUGAAAUUUAGAUGCUUUGAAAUGGUUGUAGACUUCCAGAUGAAAAGGGUAACCAACUUAUUUCCAAACUCACUGCUUCUGCAGGCUAAGAUCUGAAUUGUGGCCAUACACUCUCUUCGGUCUCAAAAUGACAUAAUCAGUCACGUCGUUGUGUUCUAACAGUGGCACCAAGAUUCUCCAGUUCAAGCGUGGAUUAUUACUAGUGUUAUUAUAUACAACAUUGCACUGUAUUUUCAGAAAAGCUAGUCGUAGAAUUGUGCAAAAUAACCGUAUAAUUUAGUAUAUCAAUGAACACUACGGCACUGAAAAUGUUGCAUCGUAUUACACGACUAUAGUUAAUUUUCUUUAGUAACAGUUUGUGAAUCAUCAAUUAACCAAACAAGCUUUCUAAGUUCUAAAAGACAUGAAAAUUCCAUGACAACUGCUUCAAAGACAAAAACCAACAUCUCCAGGUAAAUAAUUCUAAGGCUAACGGAAACCUUCCACUCUGUUUAUAUUUCAAGACUUGUUAACUUGAUAGCUUUGAUGCAAUCAAAUCUCAAAAAUCUCAAUGAAUCAAAAUCUAUUCAUUUCCAGGAUUCUGUAAAUAAUCUGCCGAAAUAAAGCAAUAAAAAAAUAAAAUUGUAGAUAAAGAGUUAGUAGAAGAUCGUAAUCAGCCUCAAAUUUGUAUAUAAUGAUAGUAAGAAACUGUAUUCCAUUGAAGAGAACCUAUAGACAGCCAUAACUGCAAAUCAAUCCAGUAGAUAAAUCCAGUAUUGUUAGCUUAAUAGUCUAUUAAUUUAGACUUAUACUUCUUAAAUUCAACAACAACAAAAUCCCUUGAACUCUUGUGCCACAUUUUCAAUUUCAAUAUCCAGCCGUGGAGUGGACAUUUCAGAGGGCUCCAAAACUAUCUUCAUAGAUGAAGCCAACCAUUGGAUCAGAACAAAGAAAAACUAGAAGAGACAGGCGUUGGGAUUUUGAAGAUAUAUUAAAACACAGUUCCAGUUCAGUUGAGUUUAAAUUACAGUUAUUUAAAACUGCCCUCACUCGGAAAAGGACUCCCCCAUAAUCUGCACAUUUGAAGAACUUUGCUUCAGCGGGUGAUACAGGAAUACAAAAGGUUAGAAAAGCCAUGGCCAAACAGCACAAACUCUACGCGAGUAUAUGUUUGCAAACAUAAAGCAGAUUGUUGAUGGAACUACUUGAGCAAUACUUUCGAUAUCUUCCCCAUAUACACAACUAAAGAACGUAAGGAAAGCCCUGCUGAGAUAUAGCAAAACAACACCAGCACCUACUAGAAUCCAUGGCCCUGAAAUAUUGCAAAAUAAAAAAUGAAAGAGAGGAAUUAAUAUAGAUGAAGAAACUUCAGAGCAUAAAUCAAGAGAAUCAUUUUUGGAGGAUUCUCUUUCAUGUCAAUUGUAAAAGGAGAUGAUGAACCUGCGAUCUCGAGUAGCGAGAAGGAUGGUUAGUGCAAUCACUGUGUUGCAGUUUUCCACUUGCCAAGGUUAUUUGCAGCAACAGCCUGCAGGAGACCAAUACAGACAUUAUCAUUAUUCAUGGCUAUUAAUCAAAUUUGUUGACAAGCUAGACAAAUUUUUAUUUUUGAAAAAGUAAGACGUAUGAGUGACUAUAUGAGGUCGAAAUACCGAAAAUUGACCUGGUGACAAUCAAAUCUUUUACAAUCAAUUAAUUUGUUUUGGUGUAAACUAGUUCCACAACAAUUCUUCAAUAAUAAAAUGAGUAGGUGAAAUUGAUGUAAUGUAAAUUAUUUGUAUUAAUGAUCUGAUGCAAGCUAAAAUGUGUAAGGUUAAAAGAACUCUAAAAUUAAUUGCAUUGUAACAUGAUGUUUCCUUUAUGUGCUUCAAAUUAAAGGGGAAAAAAUUGGACUUCUUUAAGGAAACAAGUCCUUGAAGAAGGUUCAAUCUCAAAAGGAAUAAACUUAGAAAUAGCAACACUACCUUCAUAAUGAAAUUUUCUUGAGAACAAGAAUCAAGAUUAGCAUUGGGAGGAUAAGUAUAGUAUUUUUUACUAUAAACACAAGGUAACACAUAUCCAAAGAUUGAAUGGCUGCCGUUUUGAUGAAUUUGGAGACUUUGAGACAUCCUAAUCUAAACUGGCUUCACUAGGAUCUUCUUUAACUGAGUCGGCAUUGCCUUCAUAAGAUCCAACAAGAUUGUUGCAAUCGACAUGAGUCCCCCAUUCUGGUGUACUGAGCAAUUUUAAUGUAGUUUUGUCAUAGGCCAUGGGUUUUCAUUUUUCUCUUCUUCAUGAGCAACAUGCAUCACAUUAAUUGGAUCAGAUUUAUACAUGUUGGAAUCACCAAUAGCAUCCACUUCCUUUGCAUGUUCAACAUGCAUCUUUGAUGUGUUCUUCAUGGAACUUGAUCUUGUGGAAACCAUGAUGCACAAAUGGGGGAAAAAAAAAAGAGAAAAUCUAAAACAAAGAAGCUCUAGAGAGAGAGGCUGCCGUUUGGAUGAGAAAGAAUGAGAAAAGCAAACUAAACAAGAGCUCUUAUUUAGAGAGAUAACCCUAAACUAGGGGUGGCAAUAUAGGUUAAGAUUCGUUUACUUGAUUCGAUUCAAUGAGAACUAAAUGGGUUUGGGUUUAAAAAAAUUGAUUUGUUUAAUAAAUGAGUGAAUUUGAUUCGAUUUGCUAAUUAAACGAAUCGAAUCCGGGUUUAAAGAUAUUUAAAACAAUCACUGUCAAAGUACUAGAAAUUAUUAGUACAAGCUCGCAAAGAUAUAAAUAUCAAAUAUGCUUUUAAUUCAGAUUUCCUAAUCCAAAUUUGUCUAGUAAAGUUACCUUUACAUUGAAGCUUAGAAUUAGAAGCAUAUCUAGAUUUAUCAUAUAAUGAUAAAGUAGAUGAAAUAACUUUCUUUAUGGACUUCAUGAGCUUAAAGCAUCUAGGUCAUAUGUAUCAUUUAACAUGGUAAAAGUGACGAGUAGAAACAAACCUUUCAUACUUGCCAUGUGAGCUCGAUGUAUAAUAUGCCACUAUAAAAUUCUUAAUUAAUUUUUAUCAUAAUAAUUAUUUUUAUUUUAAUUAUUGUUAUUGUUAUUAUUAUUCAAAAAUUAAUUACGAAUAAUAAUUAUUGUUAAUUAUUAUUAUUAUUAAUAAUUUAAAUAAUUAAUUAAUUAUUUUAUAGUUGAUUUUUAUUUUAUAGUUAUAUAUUUUUUCUACAAUAAUUAUAGUUUAAAAAUUAUAGUACCUCAAUCCCAGAAAAACAUGCUCUUUAUAACUAAUUAAUUAAGUAACCAACUUCACGGGUACCAAAAGCUUGCCCACUCCUACAUAUUUUGUCGUAUUGCUAUAAUUUUCCACAAUAAAAUCAGUUGAUGCCAAAUGAAAAAAAGAAUAAAAUAAAAAAGUAUAAAGGGUUCUGUUUCUUUCGUUUAACGGGGCAAAUAUUUUGUUGGCUGCUAAUUUAUAUGUCGUUUACAUUAAAUUUCUUGGAAGCAAAUCAAAAGUUCUAUUCGAAAGCAACAUAUGGAAUCAUUUUAAUUAUCAUAUAAUAAAAUGAUUUAAGUUGGAACUAGUUGAUGUCGGCUAUGACUAGGUUGAAAAGUCGAGUAUAAAAAAUAGCACUAUAGCAUCAAUUUUAUGAAAGAAAAUAACGCGGUUUGGUGACAUUUGGCCUACUCUAAUCAAUCAUAUUAUUCUCAGUACAAAAUUUUAUAUUUCUCGGAAGUCACUGAGAAAUUUUUUGAUAGUUGGUGAUCAAAUUAACCGAAAAUGGAGGAAAAAGUUGCUUCCAGAACAAUAGAGCAAGUUGGAAAGAGAGGUGGGUAAGGUUUUUCUUUACCAACAUUUUUUGCGGAUUAAGAUUAUGCACAACAACUUAAUUAAUUCUUUAAAUUGUUAAUUUUUUAAUAAGAAAAAAAAAGGACGAAUUUAUAUAAUUAAUUAAUUGUCAAGUGGGUGACAGCAGAAUUAUAAUCGGCUAAUGGGUUGACGGAGAAACAACGGCGGAAAUAACGGAGACCAACCACACCCACAUUAUCAAGAAAAACAAACCCACGCUCAAAAUGCUGGAGCAUUUUGAUUUUGGCAAGGAGAGUGAAGACAAUGAUGAAAAUUCAAUUUAUUAAUACUAAAAAUUGAAUUUAUUGUUUGUAUACAGAGUAGGAAAUAUCCUUUAUUGAUACUUUGUUUGCACAAUUUUUCCUCAUAGCUCAUCAAUAUAAUAAAAUAAUUUAACUGAUUAUUUUUUGUAAUGGACUAUGGUAAUUCUGAUUGAAUACUGCAUUGUGUGUGUACUAGUACUACGUGUUGUAGGAGUUAUGAAUUUAGAGUACUGUAAUGCAUUUUAUUUUCUAUGUUAAAAAAGUAGAUACUCGAAUAUUAAAAAAAAAAAUCAUAAAUUAUUAAAAAUUGUCAUAAAUUAUCAUCAUGGAUUAUCAAUCUAAUCGAGAAUUAUCAAUUUUAUAUUUUUUUGUGAUUGCAAAAUUUCCCUCUUAUUCCUAAAUCACUAUUUUUGUUUAUGAUUGAUUCAAUUACAUUACCAUAGUGAUUCUUAUAAUUUUGGUUGAGUAAGUUUUCACUUUCAUCCAACUCAAAAACUUAAAAUUACACAUUUAAAAAAAAAAAUUGGACUUUAUUUUAAAAAAUGUCGUUAUAGGAAUUUUUAAAUUUUUACAGAUUUUCUUUUCAGAAUAACUUAUUUAAUAUUUGUUUAAAUAACUUUAAAUCUUUAAAAAUAAUCCAUAAAUAUACAAAUAGAAAAUUAGAAUGAUGGGAUAGCAUGUGAGGAGUGGCACACUUGUACGCGUGUGACAUGAAUGCUUAACAAUACCCUAAUGGUGCGUUUAGCACAUAAUAUUAUAUUAUACUGUAUUGCAUUAUUUUAAUAUUGGUGUAUUGUAUUAUGCUCUUGUCACUGAUGUAAGAUUUAAUAUAAUAUAUUAUAUUGGAUUAAUAUUUUUAUAUUAUAUUAAUAUAUUUAAAUUGUAAUAAUAUUUUAUAUUAUUAUUUAUUUUAAAUUAAUAUUAAUCAAAUUUAUUUAUAUUAAAAUAUUUAUUAUUAGUUAUAAUAAAUUAUAAAUUUAUUAAUAAAUGAUAAUGUAAAAAUAAAAAUUAUAUAAUAUUAUAUUAAAUUAAAAAUUUAUAUUAUUAUUAUUAUUAUUAUUAUAAAACAAAAGCAAAAGCGAAAGGAAAAAAAAACUAUUAUUAAUAGUAUUAUUAUUAUAAAACAAAAGCAAAAGGACAAAAAUAAAAUAAAAUAUAGCAAGCGUAACGAUUUUGCAAACUAAUGUCGGCGUGUGGGUCAGGAAGGGGACACCAAAUAUUAAAGACGUGGCAUCAUCGUACUGGAUGGAAUUUGGGCAAUCUCGUCAUUUUAAUAGUCAAUCGCCACUAUAAAACGAGGAUAUGACUCCGCGCCAUUUCUCACAGUAAUCUUCACCUGUAAGAGUGGUGCUUGGCACAGGUAAAGAUGAGAGAAGAGAGAAAUUUGGUCCCUCUUUACCCACCCACUCUCUCGUUUCUUUUCUUCUUUUUUCUCUCAUCUUUUAUCUGUGCUCAGCAUUUUUCUUCGAUAAAAGGCCUCUUAAUCUCUCUGUCUAGUUAAUAAUGAUUAUAAUUGCUCCCUUUAGCUUCUUUUUUUUUUAAUUAAUAUUUAUUUUACCGAUUAAUCUAGCUGCUAUGAUGCCGUGCUAUGUCGAUUAAUUCGUAAACUGGAUUUUUUUUAAUUAUUAUGGUUUAUCUUGACAUGGUGAUAUGCUUGCUAUUAUUUAUAAGCUUUUCAUUAGCUGUAAUUUUUUUUAGGCGAUAGCUUAUUAGUUGUUUGAGGUUAUAAUGAUGGCGAUUUAAAACUCAAGUCAGCCUCGUUGAUUCUAUUUAGGAUUUUGAUUUGAUGGUGUUACAGUGCUCUCCCGGAGAUAGUUUUGAAUUUUUUUUGGUGUUAAUUAUAGGCAUAUCUUGCAAUUCUAUAAGAUUUGUGGAAAAAAUUAAUUUAAAAUAAAAAAGAAAAGGAUAUGCCCAAAUCUUUACUUAUGAAUGAUCGUCACCAUCGUUUUUGCUGAACUAUGUACAAUAUUUGGAUCAAGCAAUGGUUAAUUGAUGGUAUUAGUGGGUCAACUAAUUUCCCUUAUUGUUGGUUUAAGUGCUGUCCUUUAAUCUGAGGAAAUGUUUGUCACUAUUGACUUAUAACCUAGUUUCGUAGCUAAAACUUAAUAUUCUUUUGUUUCCACUUACGAAAAUUGAAGAAAAAUGAAAAUAUAUAUAUAUAUAUAUGAAGCUUAACUGCUGUCCUUUACCGCUCUUUAUUAGUCUAAUACACGCUCACAGCAUCACCUAAGACUUUACUCAACACAGCAAAUGGGGAUUCUUAAACUAAUUACAGUCAAGCCAUGGAGCUCUUGCUUGUUACUUGGUGUCUUGUUCAUCUUUGCUUUCAUGGCUUCUCUUUCUCAUGCAGAAAUUCAAUUCCAUGAGUUUGUUGUACAUACUAAUUUAAUUUCUCAUUCCUUAUUAAUCAUAUCAUUCUUGGUGGUCGUUCAAUGAGAUGCAGCUUCGGCUUCUCUUGGUGGUUGAUUUGAUUUUCAGCAGGAUGAUUGUUGGAGGAGAUGCGGCUUCCGCUUCUCUUCGUCAAUGUUGUGGGUUUCCUUAUGCGAGGGAUUUACUGUAAUUGUAAAACGAGUGUGUUUGAUCCAUUUUAAAACUAAAAAUAAACAAAACCGAUAAACUAUGAUUGCCGUACUUGAAUGCUUUGGGCUGAUUAAUCUUGCUGAAUAAAUGCUUGAACCUCUACAAAGAAUGUAUAACUUACUAACAAGAUCUUUAAUUAAUUUUGCAAUUUCAGCUGCAUCUCUCCAUGCAAUGCAAGACUUACUCUCAGUAUUGAGUCUGAGUUAACUAAGCAGAUCAAGAAGUAUCAGAUUUAAGAACUGGAAUGUGCUAUUCAGAGAUAAAUAUCAGUCAAACCAAUUACGAUUGCAAGAAAAAGAAAUCAACGAUACAUCAAUUAAUUAACAAAAACAUAUAACAGAAUGAAAAGAUAUCAUCAAACUAUCAAUUGAUUUUCCUCACUAUUAUUGAAUAUUACUCUUCAAAAAAAAAGUAAUUUAAAAGUAAAAAAAUAAUGCGAGUUAGUCAAUACUUGCACAAGUAAUUAUUGCAUCUCCUCUCUUUACUAAAGUAAUCCACUGCCCAUAAUGAGUUUUAGCUUGAAUUAUCAAAUUUGCCCAUUAUUUGUUAAAUUACUCUUAGUGGGCCGGUAGGAGAGAAUUUGCAAGUUUGAGGGUAAAAUUAUUAUUUUUAAAUGUAUUAUUAACCUAAAAAAAAAAACCAUCAAUUUAAUUAGUCGAAAAAAAUAAAGAAUACGAUUAUUUUUUAAUAUGAGUUUUUUUAAAUUUUUAAAAAUUUGAUAUCACGUGUUAUUUAGAGAUAAUGUCUGGCUAAGUGACUUAAAGAACAAGAUUUAACUAUUAUUAUUAUUUUUUAUUUAAUUAACUAUCAAUAACUCAAGUGAAUUUUAUUAAAGAGAAAGAGAAUUUUUUAUUACGAGGGAAUUAUGAUCCGAAAAACAUAGUGGUUUAGGAUAUUACGCCAUUUGACUACUCUUAUUAAUUCGUAAAAGUAAGCAGUGUUUGUUUGCGGCCACUUGGCAACUGAUGACUGAUGAGGCUACUUGUCUUUUAGAGAAAUAGAAUGGCAUAUGGCUACAAUUAAAUAAGUAGUGUUUGUUUCUGGCCACUUGAACAACUGAUGAGGCUCCUUCUUUCACCGUGGCCGCCGUCGGCAACAAAGAGAACAAAAACAAAAACAAAAACAAAUUAAGUCCGUAGCCUAUCUGGUGGCCAUCUCAUCACAUCAUAUCAUACAAUAUGCUAGCUAGCAAUCUAUACAGUGGACAACAUUUUGCUAGCCACUCAGUGCAUCCGUCACCAUGAUGGUCAUGUACACGUGAACUAAAAUCAACAUGCCCCCAGCAGUUCAACAUUGGUGGGAGCUGCCUAAAAAGACAGUCGCAUAGUCAGAAAAAUCAAAUGAACGGGGCAAGAAGACAGUUUUUGGACUGAGUGGGGCACUACCUUAAUGGCUCCGCCACCGCCCGAGGGUGCUUUAGCUGCAGCUGCACCAUGCACCAAAAUGGAUACGGGCCCUUGGAUAAAUGGAUAGAAAUUGGACAGUUGUGACAACUGUCAGUCGACUUUAGGUUAUUCUUAACCCAACACCCAUAGUUUUUGAAAAAUGCCAGUCCACCCCUGCUCAAAUGACAAAUACUCAACAUAAACUUCUUGAUGAUUGAAUUAAUUUGAUGAUAAAAUACAAAUUAGCCCAUGUGUUUCUGAUCUAGUUUGUACGUGUUUUCUCUGGGUACGUAUUAAUAAUGAACAGGCAACACUUCAACAUUCUCAAAAAUGAAACAAAAAUUUUAAUGAAUAUUUUAGCGGCAUUAGAGAUAUUAAUAUUUACAGUACUUUUUCUAAUUUGGAUGGAUUUUUAAAACACUAGGGAGUUGUGCUGAAUUUUUUUUUUUUUUCUUCUUUUUAUGAAUUGUUAGCUUCUCAUUGAAUCAUUAGCACUCAUUCUGAGAGAAAGUUGCAUUCAACUUAUAAUCGUUGUAAAGCCGGGCCUUUUGAUAUAAAUAAAAAAUGUGCAGAUUGCUCUAAUCCUAUUAUUGUGUUUAUCACAUAAAACUAUGAACUUCUAAAGAGAUUAUAAUUAGACAAAGCACCUAAGUGGUCUACAAUCUAUUAAAACGUAUGAUGAACUUCUAUUAUCAUCAAAUGAUUUGGAUGGUUGAUGCUAAUUCUUUGAGAUCUUCCCAUUUCAUAUUCCCUUCCUAGCUUCCCUUUCAUCCUUUAUCAUAGUCCUAGGUCACACUUCCCAUGUAUCAUUCCCUUAAUACCUCUGGUCUACAUUUUACCACCAUCACAAUCUAAAUUAUAACUAGUGGAAGAAUCAAAUCAGCCUAGAUUAAACUAAUGUUUUGUUAUUAUUCUCGAUAAUAAUGUCAAAAAUUUGUGCAAAUUUUAAUAUAUCUGCAAGUCCAUAGAUUAAUAGAUAGAGACUAGUGGUAACGAGGUCAAUCCCAGAAGAAUUGCGAGAAUUGAAAAGCCUAAUUAAAUCUCAAUUAAUAUUAGUCCUAACAUAGUUGACGAAAUUUAAUUUUAAAGAAAAGUAAACUAACUUACCUAAGAGAAGAAUUAAUACAAGGAAGAAUUUAAAAGACAGGUUUAGGAGGUCUCAAAACUUAUCAUGGUUCAGCUAAGUAAUUAUCUAAUUAUCAAUUGAUCUCCAAUAUUAGAAUGUCAACUCGAAGAUAAUCUAUAUCAUCGUAUGAUAUAACAAUUAAGCCAGAUAAUUAAAUUUAAUAUAAUUUUUUUCGCUUCAAUAUAUAUGAUUUCUAAAUAUUAUAUGUACGUAUCUCUUUGAAAAAGAAAGAAAUAAAAUAUCUUAAGCAUUCUAAAUAUCUAAUUUUACGAAAAACAUACGAUGAAAGAGAAAAUUAGGCCAAUUAUCAAGAACAAAAUAAUCAAAGCUAGCUGGCUUAAGGAAGCCAAGCAUGUUUCCCUAUUUCUUAAUUCGUUCACGUGCGAUUUUCAACCAAUCUGACUUUCGAUUAUUUUGCCUUAAAUUCCACGUAUAAAUUUGGCCGGAUUACCCCCAAAAUCUAUUAAUCUUCGAUGCUAUUUAAAUUAUUAUUGUUUAUACACUGUUCACUGUUAAUCCAUAAUCCUAAAUAAUUUCUUAUUCAAUAAAAUAAAUUAAGUAACCAAAAAUAACAAAUAAAACUAACUAGCAAUAUAGAAUUAAGGGUAAUGUAUGUCAAAAACUUGUGCUCAUCAACAAUUGCACCGUCUCUCAUAAUAGUAACUAUUGAUAGUAAUAACAAAAAAUGGGACAAGGGAAAAUGAAAAUAAUUCAAAAAGUGAUAAAAAGAAGCCAUGUUGGCUGGAAGCCAGGGGCCCAGGGUCUUAAUUAAAGGACUUCGAAAGAAUUGAGAUCAAUACAUUUCAUACUUCACGUUCACUAAGCUAUCAAAACAAUCCCAAUAUUAUAGCCCCUGCAACAUAAUUCAGUACAAACCAUUUAUGAUCUAAAACCUACAUUAAUUUGCAAUCGUAUAAUCAUAAGGACUCAAUCAAAUUCUGGUCUAGUACCAAUUUCAAUAUAAGUUAUCUAUUAAUAAAAAUUUGAGCUUCAAUCCAUAAUAGAGCUUGUCAAAGAUUCUCAAUGCUAACUUGCAGAAUGUAUUCAGCUUUACGAUCUUUUCUUCCUUUUUUUAAAUAAAAAUAAAAAAAAUAAAGCACAAAAUGGCUUUUGCAAGAGAAAAUUCCUCUCAACGCUACAUGUUUCAUUUGUCCCUAAUCAUUCACUUUAAGAUUUCAUUUAGUAUUGAAGUUAGCCGGCUGUACUAUUUAAACUAUAACACUAAAAUAUUUGGUUAAGAUUUACUAUUAUGACUUAGAAGUUAAAAAUAGUUGCUACAAAAGAAUUCCUUGAAACGCUACAUGUUUCAUUUAUCCCUAAUCAUUCACUUUAAAGUCCUGACAUUUGAUAUUGAUAUUAAGUAGUUAUAACCUUUAAGUUAUAAUACUAAAGUAUUUAGUUAAUGUAUACUUACUAUUGUGACUUGAAAGGUAGAGUUAAUUUGAGUCGAAACUUGUAUAAUAAAAAAUGAUAAUAUCUUUACUAUUUUAUUAAAAAUAUUAUUUAAAUUUUAUGCUUAUUAAACAUUGUCAACUUUUAUUUUAUAAUUAUACUUUUUUUUACAUCAAUUGUGUCUUUAAAGGUACAAUGCUUUAAUAUAAAGUAGGACCUAAAUUAAAAUUUUCAAAAAAUAUUAAAUGAAAAUGAGUAUGCAUACAGUUGAUCUAGUUGUUUGUUAACUUCCUCAUCCGUAAGCAGCUGACGCAGUGUAGCACCGUAAGUUCAUGUUAAAGAGCCCAACGUGCUGCAGAAAUUUGAAUUUCAAAAUACAGACAGUUUUUCAAUUCAACACAAUUAUUUUUUAAAAUUAAAAAUAAAAAUAAAUUUACAGAUGGUAAGAAGAAUUAAAUCAAACGGUUGCCAUAGUCCUACGUUGGCCAAGAUUGAGUCAUCCGAUCCACGACCAACGGGAACCAUUAUAAGAUCUCUGAAAAAUGAAUUAAAAACUGAGUUUGAUCAUCACCAUAUACAAUAUAUAUAUGGGGGAACCUUAGGUGCAACUGUGGCACCGUGCUAUAGUUGCAUCUAACCGUUGGAUGUCAGUGGAUCCCACCAAUCCAACUGCAUCCAACGGCUAGAUGCAACUGUGACACGGUGUCACAGUUGCACCGUAGCCUGAUCUUACAUAUAUAUAUAUAUACACUCCGCGGGCGUUCUUAUUUUCUUUUAGGCAAACACAUUUUUAAAUCAUUAGAUCAAAAUCAUCAUAAGUCGAAUAAUAAAUUAAUUUUUGAAUAAGAAAAAAGAAAGGACGAAUUUAAAUAAUUAAUUAAUUGUCAAGUGGGUGAUGGCAGAAUUAUAUUCGGCUAAUGGGUUGGUAGACUCCGUCUGUUGAGGGAGAAACAACAGCGGAAAUAACGGAGACCAACCACACCCACAUUAUCAAGAAAAACUAACCCACGCUCAUGUAUGAAGCAUGGGUGCGUGCUGGAACAUUUUGAUUUUGGCAAGGAGAGCGAUGACAAUCAUGAAAAUUCAAUUUAUUGAUACUAAAAAUUGAAUUUUUUGUUUGUAUAUAGAGUAGGAAAUAUCCUUUAUUGAUAUUUUAUUUGCACAAUUUUUCCUCCUAGCACAUCAAUGUGUAAAAUAAUUUAACUGAUUAUUUUUUGUAAUGGACUAUGGUAAUUUGAUUGAAUAGUGCAUUGUGUGUGGACUACAUGUUGUAGGAGUUAUGAAUUUAGAGUACUGUAAUGUAUUUUAUUUUCUAUGUUUAAAAAAAAUAGAUACUUGAAUAUUAAAAAAAAAUCAUAAAUUAUUGAAAUUUGUCAAAAAUUAUCAACAUGGAUUAUCAACCUAAUCGGGAAUUAUCAAUUUUAUAUUCUUUUUGUGAUUGCAAAAUUUCCCUCUUAUUCCUGAAUCACUUUUAUUUAUUUAUGAUUAAUUCAAUUACAUUACCAUAGUGAUUCUUAUAAUUUUGGUUGGGUAGCUUUCACUUUCAUCCAACUCAAAAACUUAAACUUACACAUUAAAAAAAAAAAAGAUUUGGACUUUAUUUUCAGAAAUGUCGUUAUAGGAAUCUUUAAAUUUUCACAGAUUUUCUUCUCAGAAUAACUUAUUUUAUAUUUUUUUUUAAAUAUCUUUAAAUGGUUAAAAAUAAUCCACAAAUAUACAAAUAGAAAAUUAGAAUGAUGAGCUAGCAUGUGAGGUGUGGCACACUCGUACGCUGCAUGACAUGAAUGCUUAACAAUAUCCUAAGGGUGCGUUUGGUACAUAUAUUGUAUUAUGUUGUAUUAUAUUAUUUUAAUGCUGGUGUAUUGUAUUAUAUUGUAUUACAUUAGCACUGUAUUAUAAUAAUAUUAUAUAAUGUUUGGUACUACACUGUACUGUAAUAAAUUUUUUGAUUAAUUUAAAUUAAAUAUUAUACUAUAUUAUAUUAUAUUAAUAUACUUAAAUUGUAUUAAUAUUUUAUAUUAUUAUUAAUUUUAAAUUAAUAUUAUUCAAAUUUAUUCAAAUUUAAUUAUUUAUUAUUAGUUAUAAUAAAUUAUAAAUUUAUUAAUAAAUUAUAAUGUAAAAAAUAAUAUAAUAUAAAAAUAUUGAAUAAUAAAUUACAUGUUUAUUAAUUUAUAUUAAUAAUUAUAAUAUAAAAAUAUAAAAAUAAUAUUAAAUUAAAAGUUAUAUUUAAUAAUAAUAAUAAUAAUUAUUAUUAUUAUUAUAAAGUAAAAGUCAAAAAGCAAAACUCAAAAAGCAAGGCUCCAGCGAAAGUUGCAAAAGCAAAAAGGGAGAGAGAGAAAAAAAAAAACAAAACAAAACAAGCAGCAGUUGCCGCAUUAGUUUGGGUUUUUAAUGUGAUGGUCCUGUAGCUUUUUAUUUGCCAAACAUGGAUUUGUGUAAAAUUAAUACAAUAAGGUGCUUUAAUAUAAUAAUUAAACAAGUUUUAAGAGUGUGCUUGACAGAUUAUAUUGUAUUAUUUUAAUACUGAUGUAUUGUAUUAUAUUAUAUUAUAUUAGUACUGUACAAUAAUAAUAAUAUACAAUGUUUAGUGCUCCAGUGUACUGUAUUAAUUUUUUUGGAUUAAUUUAAAUUAAAUAUUAUAUUAUAUUAUUAUUUAUAUUAUAUUAAUAUUUUAUAUUAUUAUUUAUUUUAAAUUAAUAUUAUUUAAAUUUAAAUAUUUAUUAUUAAUUAUAAUAAAUUAUAAUGUAAAAAUAAAAAAUUAUAUAAUAUUAUAUUAAAUUAAAAAGUAUUAUUAUUAUUAUUAUUUUUAAGCAAAAGUCAAAAACAAAAGCAAAAGGAAAAAGUAAAAUAAAAUAAAAUAAAAAAGCAAGCGGCAGCCGCAUUAGCUUGACGCAUCAAUAUAAUAAAACUGUAGUUCUUUAUAUACUAAACAUGGGUUUUCAUAAAUUUAAUGUAACGAGGAUUUUAAUAUAAUAAAAAUUUAAAAUUAAAAAGAUUCUCUUUCUGUUGAGAAAUUUUAAAAUAUUUAAAAUAUAUUAUAAUUAAUUAAUAUAUAUCCGAUAUAUGUAAUUAAAUUUAAUAUAAUUAUUAUUUAUAUAAUAAUUUUUUAAACAAAUAUUAAAGACGUGGCAUCAUUGUGCUGGAUGAAAUUUGGGCAAUCUCGUCAUUUUAGUGGUCAAUUGCCGCUAUAAAAUGACGAUCUCGAGCCAUGACUCGGCAUCAUCUCUCACAGUAAUCUUCACCUUCAAUUCCAUAAGAGUAGUGCUUGGUAUAGAUAAAGAUGAGAGAAAAAGAUGAGAGAAAGACGAGAGAAAUUUGCUCUCUCUACCCACCCACCCUACUCUCUCUUCUCUUUUGUUCUUUUUUCUCUUAUCUUUAGCUGUACUUAGCAUUUUUCUUCGAUAAAAGGCCUCCUCCUAAUCUCUCUGUCAAGGUAAUAAUGAUUAUAAUUGCUCCCUUUAGCUUUUUGGUUUUUUUUUAAAUUAAAAUUUAUUUUACCGAUUAAUCUAGCUGCUAUGAUGCUGUGCUAUGUCGAUUAAUUCGCAAAUUGGAUUUUUUUUAAUUAUUAUUGUUUAUCUUGACAUGGUGAUAUGCUAUUUAUAAGCUUUUCAUUAGCUGUAAUUUUUUUAGGCGAUAGCUUAUUUGUUGUUUGAGGUUAUAAUUAUGGCGAUUUAACACUCAAAUCAGCCUCGCUGAUUCUAUUUAGGGUUUUGAUUUGAUGGUGUUAUAGUACUCUCCCGGAGAUAAUUUUGAAUUUGUUGGUGUUAAUUAUAGGCAUAUCUUGUAAUUCUAUAAGAUUUGUGGAAAAAAAUUAAUUAAAAAAAGGAAAAAGAAAAAGAUGUGCCGAAAUCUUUACUUAUGAUUGAUCGUUCUUGAAAAUCUCUUUUUUAUUUUUUGAUCUAUCUAGAGAUGUACAACUUUUAUAGGUUUUCUAUCAGUUUUUUUCCUAGAGAGACCUGCCCGAAGGUGUCUUUGAAUUAUGUAGUGACUAUAUCUUAUACAAUUCUGUGUUGUUGGUUAUGUUAAUAUUGUUUGUUUUGUAUGGAUAUAUUCCGAUAUGGUGUUUCUUUGUGAAAACCCUCACCGGCAAGACGAUUACUCUUGAGGUGGAAAGCUUCGGCACCGUUGAUAAUGUCAAAGCUAAGAUCCAGGACAAAAGGGAUUCCACCAGAAGGAAGGGAUUCCACCAGACCAGCAGAGGCUUAUCACUAUAACUUUGGAGGUCCAAAGCUCUGACACAAUCGACAAUGUCAAGGCUAAGAUCCAAGACAAGGAGGGCAUGCCACCUGAUCAACAGAGUUUGAUCUUUGCCGGCAUACAACUUGAAGAUGGUCGUACUCUAGCUGACCAUCCACUCUGCAUCUUGUGCUCCGUCUCCGUGGAGGUUUCUGAGUUUGGUCAUCUGGGUGUGUGUGUGUCUUAUUUGCUUCGGUUUGUCAUGGUUAAUGUUUGCUGCCAUUGGUGAAAUGGCUUAAAUAAGUUGCGAUAACUAUUUUAAGUUUAUUUUGGUUUGUGGUUGUUGAACUCUGUUUUUAAGAUAUUGAUAUAGUCCCACUAAGGUCGCAUUAUAAUAUCUAAGAAUCUUUUUUCUUUAUAAAUACAUGUUUAAUGCACAUUACUUAUACUGGUUGAUCGCCCAUUUCUUGUUUGAUAUCUGUGUUGGUGUUUCGAUUUAUUUCAAUUAAACAAAGUGUAAAUGUAUCUGCAUUUUCUUCUAAAUUCUAAUGGAGUUGGGGAAGCAUCAAUCAACCCCCUUAUAAAAUGACAAUUUUGGUGUUUAUGGUGAGGGAAAAUUUUCAGAAAAACAAAAUCCCGAGGGCUCAAAUGUUUGCCUAAUUUAGCCUAUCUCAUCGGCACUUAAAAACUUUUUCAUCGCUGGUCUUACAAAUGAAGCCUGAAACCGUGUACCAUUGCAUAUUCAAUUUCUAAUUUUCCGGUUAUUCUUCUGCCUGUGCAGCUUGGCUGUUUGGCGGCUUCAUGGCCAUCAAUAGUCACCAUCGUUUUUGCUGAACUAUGUACAACAUUUGGAUCAAGCAAUGGUUAGUUACAACAAGAUUUGUGGAAAUUCUCUUUUAAUUCUUCUUCUUCUUCUUAUGGCAUCGACUCUUCUGUUUUCUUCUACAGGUAUUGCCAAAUGUCAUCGCCGAAUAUCUGUAAGUCACUUUUAUUUAUGUAUAUUUUGUAAAUUAAUGGAUAAUUUUGUUUGGUUCGUUUGCCUGUGUAUUUUUUUAUCUGGAAAAAAACAGUAGGAGAGAGCCUUGAGGGUAUCAGGGGUUCGUUUGAUUCGAAAAAAAAAGUGCACUGUGUUGAUUUGAAAAACCGAAAGCAAAUGUCAUCUAUCUCUUCCUCUGUGAUUGUUAAGAGUGUGUAUGCGUGAGUGUUUGUUGGGCUACGUGGUUUUAGUUGAAGGUUGUAUAUAUCAUACAUGUGUCCAUAUGCACAGCGUGUGUGGAUUACAAGGAACUGUAAGGUGGUUUGUAUAUUUUGAAACUAUUGCUAACUAAUUAUCUGGUGUAUAUUGAUUUUGGGAUUAUUAUUAUGUAUUUGGUCAGUGAGUAAAAAUAAACAUGUGUCCAUAUGCACAUCGUGUGUGGAUUACAAGAACUGUAAGGUGGUUUGUAUAUUUUGAAACUAUUGCUAACUAAUUAUCUGGUGUAUAUUGAUUUUGGGAUUAUUAUUAUGUAUUUGGUCAGUGAGUAAAAAUAAACACAGGGGAAGGAAAUGUUACUGGUAGUAGUAUGUUAUUCAUGUUUUUGGUUUGUAGUUCAGUAGUUACUUUAGCAACUGAACUGGAACUCUGUUGAAUAGUCAAGGACUUUAAGCUGAAUGAAGAUUUUAGUUGAUUAUGUCUCUAGUAGUAAACAAAAAAAUAUAAUGCUGAACUUGAAACAUUGCAGUAGUUUGUUGUGAUAAACAAGAAUAGGCAUUCCUACUCAUCGACGUUGUUUAAAUUGGCAAUUAGGGGUUUUGUAGAUAAAAAAUUUUCAUCGAAAACUAAGAAUUCUAAAUUUCUUGUGAUUUGUGGGGAGAAAGGAUUGUAGGAGAAGAUUAAAUUGGUUCCUAUUGAUUUGCAAAACAGGCCUAAUUGGUACAAGAAGAAAGUCUAUCUAGCGAUCAAGGUGAGAUUAAUAGGAAUGCAACAUAUUAAGAGCGGAGAGUUGCUUGAUUGUAUCAUGGAAAUGAUGGUGGGUAAUGAAUAACUUUGUUUGAUUAGCAUUGAAAUCACUCAAGAGUAAUCGGGAACUUCAUUUGAUUAUCCUAAUAAGUUUGUCAAUUGCUUCAUUUUUCUUUUCUGUAUUCAUUUAUUUGAUUUUUUAUGUAGGUGCCAUCAUUGGAACACAAUAAUGAAGUUAAAGGAGAGUCUCAAUUUGAUGAAAUACAUUGACAGUCACUUUGAAGGGCCUUCUCUUUUCCCUGAUGGAAGAUUUAAAGAGAACACUAUUACUUGUUUUCUGCAAUUUUUUUUCAGAUGCAUAACUUUUGCUUCAUAAGAGAAUUUGCAGAAGAGUUGUUUUCCUGCACUGACACAUUCAAUGAAACCGCGCGUUCUUCGCUCGAAGGAGAUGGAAAUAAAGCCUGUGAGUUGCUCACUUACCAUAGAACUUCUUUAUUCUAACUGAAGCACUUGUAACACAUUGGCAAACUGUAUCAGGUGCUGCAUUUGAUUAUUUUGAAAUGCCUCUCUCCGAGUUCAAUGAUGGGCCUUUUCUUCUAGGCCAGUUCAGCCUAGUAAGUGAAAAUCUUAUCCUCAUUGUGGCAGUUUUGCUAGCUUUUUGCCAUUUAAUGAUUCCUAUAUUCAUAAAGCAUGGAAAGCUAGAUCACAGUAGUGAGCUCCUAAUGCAAUAUAGAAUCGUAUAGACUUUGCUGCAGUUUCAGCAAUCCAUUAUGUUUGGUAUAACUGGAUUUAUUGAUUACUAUGAAAGUAGAAUAAAUUUAAUUUGUGCUUGAUCUUUGUUUAUAGGCGGAUAUAGCUUAUGCUCUAUUCAUUGAAAGAUGUCAGCCUUUCUUAUUGGAAGUGAAGAAGUAUGACAUCACUGCAGGGAGGCCUCAACUGGCUACUUGGAUUGAGGUAUAAGGAAUUUGCUUAAAUGUAUUGAAUAGUCAAGUAUUUUAUUAAGUAAUAGUUAACACAUGGAAAUAAUGUAAACGAAAUCUUUUAUAAUUUUUCACUGAUAUUUCAUGUUGUUAAUUAAUAUGCUCUGUAGGAGAUGAAGAAUGAGGCACUUUCAAUCAAACCCGCCGUGAUCCUAAGGAACUUGCUCAAACCUUCAAGAAACAAUUUGUUGUAUUCCCAAUUUAUUACAUUAUGAAAUGAAAUUUAGAUGCUUUGAAAUGGUUGUAGACUUCCAGAUGAAAAGGGUAACCAACUUAUUUCCAAACUCACUGCUUCUGCAGGCUAAGAUCUGAAUUGUGGCCAUACACUCUCUUCGGUCUCAAAAUGACAUAAUCAGUCACGUCGUUGUGUUCUAACAGUGGCACCAAGAUUCUCCAGUUCAAGCGUGGAUUAUUACUAGUGUUAUUAUAUACAACAUUGCACUGUAUUUUCAGAAAAGCUAGUCGUAGAAUUGUGCAAAAUAACCGUAUAAUUUAGUAUAUCAAUGAACACUACGGCACUGAAAAUGUUGCAUCGUAUUACACGACUAUAGUUAAUUUUCUUUAGUAACAGUUUGUGAAUCAUCAAUUAACCAAACAAGCUUUCUAAGUUCUAAAAGACAUGAAAAUUCCAUGACAACUGCUUCAAAGACAAAAACCAACAUCUCCAGGUAAAUAAUUCUAAGGCUAACGGAAACCUUCCACUCUGUUUAUAUUUCAAGACUUGUUAACUUGAUAGCUUUGAUGCAAUCAAAUCUCAAAAAUCUCAAUGAAUCAAAAUCUAUUCAUUUCCAGGAUUCUGUAAAUAAUCUGCCGAAAUAAAGCAAUAAAAAAAUAAAAUUGUAGAUAAAGAGUUAGUAGAAGAUCGUAAUCAGCCUCAAAUUUGUAUAUAAUGAUAGUAAGAAACUGUAUUCCAUUGAAGAGAACCUAUAGACAGCCAUAACUGCAAAUCAAUCCAGUAGAUAAAUCCAGUAUUGUUAGCUUAAUAGUCUAUUAAUUUAGACUUAUACUUCUUAAAUUCAACAACAACAAAAUCCCUUGAACUCUUGUGCCACAUUUUCAAUUUCAAUAUCCAGCCGUGGAGUGGACAUUUCAGAGGGCUCCAAAACUAUCUUCAUAGAUGAAGCCAACCAUUGGAUCAGAACAAAGAAAAACUAGAAGAGACAGGCGUUGGGAUUUUGAAGAUAUAUUAAAACACAGUUCCAGUUCAGUUGAGUUUAAAUUACAGUUAUUUAAAACUGCCCUCACUCGGAAAAGGACUCCCCCAUAAUCUGCACAUUUGAAGAACUUUGCUUCAGCGGGUGAUACAGGAAUACAAAAGGUUAGAAAAGCCAUGGCCAAACAGCACAAACUCUACGCGAGUAUAUGUUUGCAAACAUAAAGCAGAUUGUUGAUGGAACUACUUGAGCAAUACUUUCGAUAUCUUCCCCAUAUACACAACUAAAGAACGUAAGGAAAGCCCUGCUGAGAUAUAGCAAAACAACACCAGCACCUACUAGAAUCCAUGGCCCUGAAAUAUUGCAAAAUAAAAAAUGAAAGAGAGGAAUUAAUAUAGAUGAAGAAACUUCAGAGCAUAAAUCAAGAGAAUCAUUUUUGGAGGAUUCUCUUUCAUGUCAAUUGUAAAAGGAGAUGAUGAACCUGCGAUCUCGAGUAGCGAGAAGGAUGGUUAGUGCAAUCACUGUGUUGCAGUUUUCCACUUGCCAAGGUUAUUUGCAGCAACAGCCUGCAGGAGACCAAUACAGACAUUAUCAUUAUUCAUGGCUAUUAAUCAAAUUUGUUGACAAGCUAGACAAAUUUUUAUUUUUGAAAAAGUAAGACGUAUGAGUGACUAUAUGAGGUCGAAAUACCGAAAAUUGACCUGGUGACAAUCAAAUCUUUUACAAUCAAUUAAUUUGUUUUGGUGUAAACUAGUUCCACAACAAUUCUUCAAUAAUAAAAUGAGUAGGUGAAAUUGAUGUAAUGUAAAUUAUUUGUAUUAAUGAUCUGAUGCAAGCUAAAAUGUGUAAGGUUAAAAGAACUCUAAAAUUAAUUGCAUUGUAACAUGAUGUUUCCUUUAUGUGCUUCAAAUUAAAGGGGAAAAAAUUGGACUUCUUUAAGGAAACAAGUCCUUGAAGAAGGUUCAAUCUCAAAAGGAAUAAACUUAGAAAUAGCAACACUACCUUCAUAAUGAAAUUUUCUUGAGAACAAGAAUCAAGAUUAGCAUUGGGAGGAUAAGUAUAGUAUUUUUUACUAUAAACACAAGGUAACACAUAUCCAAAGAUUGAAUGGCUGCCGUUUUGAUGAAUUUGGAGACUUUGAGACAUCCUAAUCUAAACUGGCUUCACUAGGAUCUUCUUUAACUGAGUCGGCAUUGCCUUCAUAAGAUCCAACAAGAUUGUUGCAAUCGACAUGAGUCCCCCAUUCUGGUGUACUGAGCAAUUUUAAUGUAGUUUUGUCAUAGGCCAUGGGUUUUCAUUUUUCUCUUCUUCAUGAGCAACAUGCAUCACAUUAAUUGGAUCAGAUUUAUACAUGUUGGAAUCACCAAUAGCAUCCACUUCCUUUGCAUGUUCAACAUGCAUCUUUGAUGUGUUCUUCAUGGAACUUGAUCUUGUGGAAACCAUGAUGCACAAAUGGGGGAAAAAAAAAAGAGAAAAUCUAAAACAAAGAAGCUCUAGAGAGAGAGGCUGCCGUUUGGAUGAGAAAGAAUGAGAAAAGCAAACUAAACAAGAGCUCUUAUUUAGAGAGAUAACCCUAAACUAGGGGUGGCAAUAUAGGUUAAGAUUCGUUUACUUGAUUCGAUUCAAUGAGAACUAAAUGGGUUUGGGUUUAAAAAAAUUGAUUUGUUUAAUAAAUGAGUGAAUUUGAUUCGAUUUGCUAAUUAAACGAAUCGAAUCCGGGUUUAAAGAUAUUUAAAACAAUCACUGUCAAAGUACUAGAAAUUAUUAGUACAAGCUCGCAAAGAUAUAAAUAUCAAAUAUGCUUUUAAUUCAGAUUUCCUAAUCCAAAUUUGUCUAGUAAAGUUACCUUUACAUUGAAGCUUAGAAUUAGAAGCAUAUCUAGAUUUAUCAUAUAAUGAUAAAGUAGAUGAAAUAACUUUCUUUAUGGACUUCAUGAGCUUAAAGCAUCUAGGUCAUAUGUAUCAUUUAACAUGGUAAAAGUGACGAGUAGAAACAAACCUUUCAUACUUGCCAUGUGAGCUCGAUGUAUAAUAUGCCACUAUAAAAUUCUUAAUUAAUUUUUAUCAUAAUAAUUAUUUUUAUUUUAAUUAUUGUUAUUGUUAUUAUUAUUCAAAAAUUAAUUACGAAUAAUAAUUAUUGUUAAUUAUUAUUAUUAUUAAUAAUUUAAAUAAUUAAUUAAUUAUUUUAUAGUUGAUUUUUAUUUUAUAGUUAUAUAUUUUUUCUACAAUAAUUAUAGUUUAAAAAUUAUAGUACCUCAAUCCCAGAAAAACAUGCUCUUUAUAACUAAUUAAUUAAGUAACCAACUUCACGGGUACCAAAAGCUUGCCCACUCCUACAUAUUUUGUCGUAUUGCUAUAAUUUUCCACAAUAAAAUCAGUUGAUGCCAAAUGAAAAAAAGAAUAAAAUAAAAAAGUAUAAAGGGUUCUGUUUCUUUCGUUUAACGGGGCAAAUAUUUUGUUGGCUGCUAAUUUAUAUGUCGUUUACAUUAAAUUUCUUGGAAGCAAAUCAAAAGUUCUAUUCGAAAGCAACAUAUGGAAUCAUUUUAAUUAUCAUAUAAUAAAAUGAUUUAAGUUGGAACUAGUUGAUGUCGGCUAUGACUAGGUUGAAAAGUCGAGUAUAAAAAAUAGCACUAUAGCAUCAAUUUUAUGAAAGAAAAUAACGCGGUUUGGUGACAUUUGGCCUACUCUAAUCAAUCAUAUUAUUCUCAGUACAAAAUUUUAUAUUUCUCGGAAGUCACUGAGAAAUUUUUUGAUAGUUGGUGAUCAAAUUAACCGAAAAUGGAGGAAAAAGUUGCUUCCAGAACAAUAGAGCAAGUUGGAAAGAGAGGUGGGUAAGGUUUUUCUUUACCAACAUUUUUUGCGGAUUAAGAUUAUGCACAACAACUUAAUUAAUUCUUUAAAUUGUUAAUUUUUUAAUAAGAAAAAAAAAGGACGAAUUUAUAUAAUUAAUUAAUUGUCAAGUGGGUGACAGCAGAAUUAUAAUCGGCUAAUGGGUUGACGGAGAAACAACGGCGGAAAUAACGGAGACCAACCACACCCACAUUAUCAAGAAAAACAAACCCACGCUCAAAAUGCUGGAGCAUUUUGAUUUUGGCAAGGAGAGUGAAGACAAUGAUGAAAAUUCAAUUUAUUAAUACUAAAAAUUGAAUUUAUUGUUUGUAUACAGAGUAGGAAAUAUCCUUUAUUGAUACUUUGUUUGCACAAUUUUUCCUCAUAGCUCAUCAAUAUAAUAAAAUAAUUUAACUGAUUAUUUUUUGUAAUGGACUAUGGUAAUUCUGAUUGAAUACUGCAUUGUGUGUGUACUAGUACUACGUGUUGUAGGAGUUAUGAAUUUAGAGUACUGUAAUGCAUUUUAUUUUCUAUGUUAAAAAAGUAGAUACUCGAAUAUUAAAAAAAAAAUCAUAAAUUAUUAAAAAUUGUCAUAAAUUAUCAUCAUGGAUUAUCAAUCUAAUCGAGAAUUAUCAAUUUUAUAUUUUUUUGUGAUUGCAAAAUUUCCCUCUUAUUCCUAAAUCACUAUUUUUGUUUAUGAUUGAUUCAAUUACAUUACCAUAGUGAUUCUUAUAAUUUUGGUUGAGUAAGUUUUCACUUUCAUCCAACUCAAAAACUUAAAAUUACACAUUUAAAAAAAAAAAUUGGACUUUAUUUUAAAAAAUGUCGUUAUAGGAAUUUUUAAAUUUUUACAGAUUUUCUUUUCAGAAUAACUUAUUUAAUAUUUGUUUAAAUAACUUUAAAUCUUUAAAAAUAAUCCAUAAAUAUACAAAUAGAAAAUUAGAAUGAUGGGAUAGCAUGUGAGGAGUGGCACACUUGUACGCGUGUGACAUGAAUGCUUAACAAUACCCUAAUGGUGCGUUUAGCACAUAAUAUUAUAUUAUACUGUAUUGCAUUAUUUUAAUAUUGGUGUAUUGUAUUAUGCUCUUGUCACUGAUGUAAGAUUUAAUAUAAUAUAUUAUAUUGGAUUAAUAUUUUUAUAUUAUAUUAAUAUAUUUAAAUUGUAAUAAUAUUUUAUAUUAUUAUUUAUUUUAAAUUAAUAUUAAUCAAAUUUAUUUAUAUUAAAAUAUUUAUUAUUAGUUAUAAUAAAUUAUAAAUUUAUUAAUAAAUGAUAAUGUAAAAAUAAAAAUUAUAUAAUAUUAUAUUAAAUUAAAAAUUUAUAUUAUUAUUAUUAUUAUUAUUAUAAAACAAAAGCAAAAGCGAAAGGAAAAAAAAACUAUUAUUAAUAGUAUUAUUAUUAUAAAACAAAAGCAAAAGGACAAAAAUAAAAUAAAAUAUAGCAAGCGUAACGAUUUUGCAAACUAAUGUCGGCGUGUGGGUCAGGAAGGGGACACCAAAUAUUAAAGACGUGGCAUCAUCGUACUGGAUGGAAUUUGGGCAAUCUCGUCAUUUUAAUAGUCAAUCGCCACUAUAAAACGAGGAUAUGACUCCGCGCCAUUUCUCACAGUAAUCUUCACCUGUAAGAGUGGUGCUUGGCACAGGUAAAGAUGAGAGAAGAGAGAAAUUUGGUCCCUCUUUACCCACCCACUCUCUCGUUUCUUUUCUUCUUUUUUCUCUCAUCUUUUAUCUGUGCUCAGCAUUUUUCUUCGAUAAAAGGCCUCUUAAUCUCUCUGUCUAGUUAAUAAUGAUUAUAAUUGCUCCCUUUAGCUUCUUUUUUUUUUAAUUAAUAUUUAUUUUACCGAUUAAUCUAGCUGCUAUGAUGCCGUGCUAUGUCGAUUAAUUCGUAAACUGGAUUUUUUUUAAUUAUUAUGGUUUAUCUUGACAUGGUGAUAUGCUUGCUAUUAUUUAUAAGCUUUUCAUUAGCUGUAAUUUUUUUUAGGCGAUAGCUUAUUAGUUGUUUGAGGUUAUAAUGAUGGCGAUUUAAAACUCAAGUCAGCCUCGUUGAUUCUAUUUAGGAUUUUGAUUUGAUGGUGUUACAGUGCUCUCCCGGAGAUAGUUUUGAAUUUUUUUUGGUGUUAAUUAUAGGCAUAUCUUGCAAUUCUAUAAGAUUUGUGGAAAAAAUUAAUUUAAAAUAAAAAAGAAAAGGAUAUGCCCAAAUCUUUACUUAUGAAUGAUCGUCACCAUCGUUUUUGCUGAACUAUGUACAAUAUUUGGAUCAAGCAAUGGUUAAUUGAUGGUAUUAGUGGGUCAACUAAUUUCCCUUAUUGUUGGUUUAAGUGCUGUCCUUUAAUCUGAGGAAAUGUUUGUCACUAUUGACUUAUAACCUAGUUUCGUAGCUAAAACUUAAUAUUCUUUUGUUUCCACUUACGAAAAUUGAAGAAAAAUGAAAAUAUAUAUAUAUAUAUAUGAAGCUUAACUGCUGUCCUUUACCGCUCUUUAUUAGUCUAAUACACGCUCACAGCAUCACCUAAGACUUUACUCAACACAGCAAAUGGGGAUUCUUAAACUAAUUACAGUCAAGCCAUGGAGCUCUUGCUUGUUACUUGGUGUCUUGUUCAUCUUUGCUUUCAUGGCUUCUCUUUCUCAUGCAGAAAUUCAAUUCCAUGAGUUUGUUGUACAUACUAAUUUAAUUUCUCAUUCCUUAUUAAUCAUAUCAUUCUUGGUGGUCGUUCAAUGAGAUGCAGCUUCGGCUUCUCUUGGUGGUUGAUUUGAUUUUCAGCAGGAUGAUUGUUGGAGGAGAUGCGGCUUCCGCUUCUCUUCGUCAAUGUUGUGGGUUUCCUUAUGCGAGGGAUUUACUGUAAUUGUAAAACGAGUGUGUUUGAUCCAUUUUAAAACUAAAAAUAAACAAAACCGAUAAACUAUGAUUGCCGUACUUGAAUGCUUUGGGCUGAUUAAUCUUGCUGAAUAAAUGCUUGAACCUCUACAAAGAAUGUAUAACUUACUAACAAGAUCUUUAAUUAAUUUUGCAAUUUCAGCUGCAUCUCUCCAUGCAAUGCAAGACUUACUCUCAGUAUUGAGUCUGAGUUAACUAAGCAGAUCAAGAAGUAUCAGAUUUAAGAACUGGAAUGUGCUAUUCAGAGAUAAAUAUCAGUCAAACCAAUUACGAUUGCAAGAAAAAGAAAUCAACGAUACAUCAAUUAAUUAACAAAAACAUAUAACAGAAUGAAAAGAUAUCAUCAAACUAUCAAUUGAUUUUCCUCACUAUUAUUGAAUAUUACUCUUCAAAAAAAAAGUAAUUUAAAAGUAAAAAAAUAAUGCGAGUUAGUCAAUACUUGCACAAGUAAUUAUUGCAUCUCCUCUCUUUACUAAAGUAAUCCACUGCCCAUAAUGAGUUUUAGCUUGAAUUAUCAAAUUUGCCCAUUAUUUGUUAAAUUACUCUUAGUGGGCCGGUAGGAGAGAAUUUGCAAGUUUGAGGGUAAAAUUAUUAUUUUUAAAUGUAUUAUUAACCUAAAAAAAAAAACCAUCAAUUUAAUUAGUCGAAAAAAAUAAAGAAUACGAUUAUUUUUUAAUAUGAGUUUUUUUAAAUUUUUAAAAAUUUGAUAUCACGUGUUAUUUAGAGAUAAUGUCUGGCUAAGUGACUUAAAGAACAAGAUUUAACUAUUAUUAUUAUUUUUUAUUUAAUUAACUAUCAAUAACUCAAGUGAAUUUUAUUAAAGAGAAAGAGAAUUUUUUAUUACGAGGGAAUUAUGAUCCGAAAAACAUAGUGGUUUAGGAUAUUACGCCAUUUGACUACUCUUAUUAAUUCGUAAAAGUAAGCAGUGUUUGUUUGCGGCCACUUGGCAACUGAUGACUGAUGAGGCUACUUGUCUUUUAGAGAAAUAGAAUGGCAUAUGGCUACAAUUAAAUAAGUAGUGUUUGUUUCUGGCCACUUGAACAACUGAUGAGGCUCCUUCUUUCACCGUGGCCGCCGUCGGCAACAAAGAGAACAAAAACAAAAACAAAAACAAAUUAAGUCCGUAGCCUAUCUGGUGGCCAUCUCAUCACAUCAUAUCAUACAAUAUGCUAGCUAGCAAUCUAUACAGUGGACAACAUUUUGCUAGCCACUCAGUGCAUCCGUCACCAUGAUGGUCAUGUACACGUGAACUAAAAUCAACAUGCCCCCAGCAGUUCAACAUUGGUGGGAGCUGCCUAAAAAGACAGUCGCAUAGUCAGAAAAAUCAAAUGAACGGGGCAAGAAGACAGUUUUUGGACUGAGUGGGGCACUACCUUAAUGGCUCCGCCACCGCCCGAGGGUGCUUUAGCUGCAGCUGCACCAUGCACCAAAAUCGACACGGGCCCUUGGAUAAAUGGAUAGAAAUUGGACAGUUGUGACAACUGUCAGUCGACUUUAGGUUAUUCUUAACCAACACCCAUAGUUUUUGAAAAAUGCCAGUCCACCCCUGCUCAAAUGACAAAUACUCAACAUAAACUUCUUGAUGAUUGAAUUAAUUUGAUGAUAAAAUACAAAUUAGCCCAUGUGUUUCUGAUCUAGUUUGUACGUGUUUUCUCUGGGUACGUAUUAAUAAUGAACAGGCAACACUUCAACAUUCUCAAAAAUGAAACAAAAAGUUUAAUGAAUAUUUUAGCGGCAUUAGAGAUAUUAAUAUUUACAGUACUUUUUCUAAUUUGGAUGGAUUUUUGAAACACUAGAGAGUUGUGCUGAAUUUUUUUUUUUUCUUCUUUUUAUGAAUUGUUAGCUUCUCAUUGAAUCAUUAGCACUCAUUCUGAGAGAAAGUUGCAUUCAACUUAUAAUCGUUGUAAAGCCGGGCCUUUUGAUAUAAAUACAAAAUGUGCAAAUUGCUCUAAUCCUAUUAUUGUGUUUAUCACAUAAAACUAUGAACUUCUAAAGAGAUUAUAAUUAGAUAAAGCACCUAAGUGGUCUACAAUCUAUUAAAACGUAUCAUGACAUACAUGACGAAGGAUGUCAUCUGAGAUAAUUGAAGCAAACAAUUGUUAACCAGGUGUAGUUGUGUUAUUACAUUCAAAUUAUUAUUUUUUUUCUUUCCCAAAGAUUUAAGGAACAUGAGUUUAAUCUUCCAAAUUUUUUAAGUUUCGAAUUUUCUUUUGGCUUCAACUGCCAUGUACUAUGGAUGAAAGAGAUACUAUUGCUAAAUGCCAUUUUAAAACCUACUGUAAAUAUUAAAAUCAUGAAAGUGGGUAUUUUCUAAUUAUCUUUAUAAAAACUAGAUAAUGUAGGAUGGUUGUUGUUACGCGUAAGAUACUUUUCGAAUGGCAUAACUUGAAUCACAUAUAUCCUUUUUUUUUUAUGUAUAACAUACUAUUUUGAAACUUGUGAUGAGACGAACCAAAUCUAGAAUCGCUUGCGCCAUUCUACCCUAUUGUCCAGCCAAAAAAUUCCACUUAUUUUCUAGUGAUUUUUCAGUUUUAAGAUUUUUUUUAUUUUUCUUGUUUGUUUUAGGAUUUUUUUUUUCUAGAUAUCGAAUUUGGACACCCUUCAUUUUGCUUUUCUUACUUAGACUAGGAGAAUUUAAUUAUAAAAUAAUAUUCUGAAUUUACCUAUUUUUGGUAAAUUUGUGAUAUUUAGUAUUAUUAUAUAAGGGGUCUAAAACUCUAGUUUUGUUAAUUCAAACUAAAUUCAAUAAAACAUCAUUAUAAAAAAACUUGUAUUUUUUCUAUCAUUCAAUUUUAAACGUUUCCGUUUUGUCAUUAGUUAAAUAUUUAUUUUACUUGUAUUAGAGAAAAAAAAAUAUAUCUACUUUUAUUAUUUUAUCCAAUUUUUUAUCGUGACAAAAGCAUAGGAGUCCCGAGUCCCCAAGAAAGAACACGAUCCCGUGCCCGCAUGCCGUCGCCAACGUGAGCGCAUUGGUUUAGUCGAGUAAGACCCCAUUGAAUGAUAACAAACGUUGGAAGAGGAGAGAGGGGCCUAUAUGUGAUAAUACCGAUUAAUAUAUCACAUCAAUCAUCAUGCAUAGUUGGCCACUCGUAGUCAUGACCUUUCUUGUUUUUAAAGAAACCUCGUUGGAGUGAGGGAAAUAUUAUUUAAAAAAAAAAAAGGAAAAAAAGUCAAUAUAAGGUAGGGAAAAUAUAAUGAAGCUUAUCCUUAAGAAAAUACAAAUGCAUCAGUCAUGACCUAGAUUCAUAUUUGGUCAACUUCUUUACAACAAUAAUAAUAAUUGAAAUUAAACCAAGUUUUCAAUUGAAUUACCAUCCGUGUGCUAUUAGGUUUUUAAUUCAAUGGUAAAAUCCACAUCCUUGAAUACAUAUCAUAGUUUCAAGCUCUCACGAGUCAUAUUGUCUCAAAUUUUAAUAAAAUUAAACAUCUCUUCACAUAUUUAUACGAUUAAAUUUUAAAAUUAUUACUGUAGAUUUUUGAAGUAUACUAUGAAAUAUAUAUAUUAACAUUCAAUUGAUUCCAGAUUAUAAUGUAUUGGUAGAUUUUAAUAGUUUCAAAAGAAUAAAAUUACCAUAAUAUCAUCCAUAGAAAAGAACGACGUAGAGUAUAGGAGAAGAGUCAAAUUGCUAGCAUAUAGAAGGACUAAUCGUGGGCUAGACUAGUGUUAAUGUAGGAUAAAAUUACCCCUCUAGCUAAGCUCUCCUAAUUUUUUAGAUAUAUUGUGCUACCUAUCUUUUAUUGCUAGUGUAUAUUUAGUAUUUUAUCACCUUUAUAUUUACUAUUUUACCACCUUUAUUUUUUCAAUUUAUUAACCACUAAUAACGUGAAUGAAAAUUGCUCAAGAGAUGAUUACAUUAGGAGAGGAUGUUGAUUCUUCAAUAUUUUUCUUCUUCUUUAAUUAGAGUUUGAGACUUAAUUUAUAAAUGUUUAAACUAUUUAUGUAUUGAAUAAAUUAAAAUUGUUAGGAGGCUAAAAUGUUAUUACUACUUUAAUUUAUAAAUCGUGAAAGAGUAAUUUAUAAAUCACGCAAUAAGCCACGUAUUAAUUUUUAAUUGAGUUCACAGCCACGGAUAUGCAGCUAAUACGUUAAUGUAAUAACAGCUAACAUAUACAUGAAGACAGUGAUAAUCUAGUUGCUUCAAUUAUAAGCAAGAAAUGAGAAUUUGAUUAAAGUUAUUUAGAUUAUAAGCUUAUAAUUUAGUUGCUUUAAUUUGAGUCCAACUUUCCCCUUUCUCUUCGGUGGAAUUUAUUUUCCUUUUUCAAUUUUUUGUUUGAGUUGUGUUUAUAUGCUCUUUAAUCUAUGGCUUGUUUUCUCUAAUCAUAUAAAGUGGUCAUGAGGUUUAACUUUUGUUAUCUGCAGAUCGAUCACUGCAGUAAUUUAAUUAAUAUAUUAAUUAGCACAUCCAACUUUUACGUGGAGGGUAGUUAAAAUAGCUAAGAGCCAUCUCAAAUAAAAAUUGAAUUUAUUGUUAGUAUAUAGAGUAGGAAAUAUCCUUUAUUGAUACUUCGUUUGCACAAUUUUUUCUCCUAGCACAAUAUAAUAAAAUAAUUUAACUGAUUAUUUGUUGCAAGGCUGGCUUUAGAAUAUAUGGGGCCUUAGGCAAAAAAUUUUUGUGGAGCCUUUUUUAUUUUUGUAAUUUUAAUACUCGAAGAAAUAUAAAAGACUAAAAAAUUCAUUUGACUUUUAACUCUUGAAUUUUAAUAGUAAUAAAAAAUAUCUUAAAAUUUUUCAAAAACCAAACCUAAAAAAACACCAAGAAGAUAUCUUUUUUACUUCUAUUAAAAUUAUAACAAAAAUAAACAACAAAUAAAUAAAAAAAAUAUUAUUUUUAAAUAGAAUAUUUAGCAAAAAGUUGAGAUGAUGAAUUGAUUAUCAAAUAAUAGAUAUGCACUUCGUAUUUUAAGAAACUAAUUUUUUUUCUUUUUUAAAUGAAUCAAUGAAUGUAAUAAUUCUCUUUGUAAAAAAAAAAAAAGAGCAAGAAAUCUAUUUAUCUAUUGAUUUUUUUAUAUUACAAGGUUUUAAUGGAAAUUAAAAGGAAUAUUAAAAGUUAAAGAAUUUAAUUUUUUUAGGAAACUUAAAAGGUAAAAUUUUAUUUUAUUUUUUGGAAAAACUAAUAAUGAAUGAAUUAAUGACUAAACAAUUUUAUUAAUUAUAUAAUUAAAAAUGGAUCUUUAUUAAUUAAAGAAUUAUUAAGAAAUACGAAAAAAAUGAGGCCUUAAAAAAAUAUAGGAAUUUAGGCAAUCGCCUUAUUCGCCUAUAGUUAAAACCACCAUUGAUUUGUUGUAAUGGACUAUGGUAAUUUGAUUGAGUAGUGUAUUGUGUGUGGAGUGUGUGUUGUACGAGUUAUGAAUUUGGAGUACUGCAAUCAUUUUAUUUUCUAUGUUAAAAAAAAGAAGAUACUGGAAUAUUAAAAAAUUAAUCACUUUUACCAGCUAACUAACAUAGCAUAAUAUUAUUGAAGUUAGUAGCUUGAUUAAAUAUUAUGAACUCUAUUUUUUUUUUUUUUUUUUGGCUUUAUCAAUAAAUCUCCAUGAUAUUUUAUUGAAAAUUGUCAUAAAUUAUCAACAUGAAUUAUCAAUCUAAUCGAGAGUUUUCAAUUUUAUAUUUUUUUAGUGAUUGUAAAAUUUCGCUCUUAUUCCUAAACUAGGAAAUAGAACCGCACUUCGUGCGGUUUUAAAAAAAAAAUUAAUAUUAUAUUUUUUUAUUACUUUGCACUCGAUAAAACUGAUAAAAAAUAUAAAUUAUUUUUUUUAAAGAUGACGCAGCCUUAUAAAGCUAAUGUUAUUUAUGAAAGUUUAUUUUUUUUGUUAACAUUAAAAAAAUAUAUUAACGUGUAUAGUUAAGUGUACACAACCUUUUCAUCAAUAACAAUCAUGUUCACACUAAUCAACGUUCUAUUUUUCUUGGUAUUAACAGACUCUCACAUCUUACAAAGCCUAACCCUUAUCAUCUAACUAUAUUCAUCAUUGUUUAAUUCAUGAAGAAAAGAGUACUCCAUGAAGCACACAAUACUAAAAAUUUAAAUAAGUCAAAAAAAUAAAAACAUAAUAAUAUUUGUAAAGAGGAUGUUAGUUAAAUAAUAAAAAAAAACUCAAACAUAACAAAUCUUAAAUGCUUAAUAUUUAUAGAGGUUGAAGAAGCCAAAAGACACUAAAUAAAAAGUUGCAUAAUUAAAUAUGAGAUUAUGACAUUAAAAUUAGGUCCUAAUGGCAUUGGUGAGGGAAGAUGAAGGAACCUUCCUUCCUAUAUUAAUUAGUUGAUGUAUUUUAAACCACUAAAAUUUAGUUGUUGGCUUAAUAAAAUAAAUGAAUGUUUCAAAACUUGUAAUUAAUUUAUUAUUAAUGGUUACCUAUUGUUGAAUUUCAAUAGAAAGAGGAAGAGACAUGUAAUCUUUUGUAAUCUAUUAAUUAUUUUCUAUUUUUAAUAUUUUGUAAUGUAAUUAUUUUUUAAUCUCAACCAAUAUAUUAGAUAAUAGAGAAUAAAAAAAGAUGAGAAAUAAUGAUGCCACAAAUCUUAACUACUUAAUAUUUAUAGAGUUUGAAGAAGCCAAAAGGCACUAAACAAAAGAUUGAAUAAUUAAAUAUGAGAUUAUGACAUUAAAAUUAGGUUCUAAUGGCAUUGUUGAUGGAAGAUGAAGGAACCUUACUUCCUAUAUUAAUUAAUUGAUAUAUUUAAGCCACUGAAGUUUAAUUGUUGGCAUAAUAAAAUAAAUAAAUGUUUCAAGAUUUAUAAUUAAUUAUUAUUAAUGGUUACAUAUUAUUGAAGUUAAAUAGAAAGAGGAAGAGACAUGUAAUCUUUUAUAAUCUAAUAAUUAUUUUUUAUUUUUAAUAUUUUGUAACGUAAUUAUUUUUUUAAUAUCAACCAAUUUAUUAGAUAAUAGAGAAUAUAAGAAGAUGAGAAAUAGUGAUGCCACAUCACCUCCUCUAGUCCUAUAUAUAUAUAUAUAUAUAUAGAUAUAGAUUUUUAAUAUUUUGUAAUGUAAUUAUUUUUUAAUCUCAACCAAUAUAUUAGAUAAUAGAGAAUAAAAAAAAUAUGAGAAAUAAUGAUGCCACAAAUCUUAAAUAUUUAAUGUUUAUGGAGUUUGAAGAAGCCAAAAGGCACUAAACAAAAGAUUGAAUAAUUAAAUAUGGGAUUAUGAUAUUAAAAUUAAGCUCUAAUGGCAUUGUUGAAGGAAGAUGAAGGAACCUUCAUUCCUAUAUUAAUUAAUUGAUGUAUUUUAAGCCACUAAAAUUUAAUUAUUUGCAUAAUAAAAUAAAUGAAUGUUUCAAGAUUUAUAAUUAAUUAUUAUUAAUGGUUACAUAUUAUUGAAUUUAAAUAGAAAGAGGAAAAGGCAUGUAAUCAUUUAUAAUCUAAUAAUUAUUUUCUAUUUUAAUAUUUUAUAAUGUAAUUAUUUUUUAAUUUCAACCAAUUUAUUAGAUAAUUAUAUAUUAACUGAUAUCUUUAUUAUUAAUAUUUUUUUUUAUCUUUAUUUUUUUUAGUGUCAUAUUAUAAUAUAUGUACAAAGAAUAUCCACCAAUAUUUUAGAUAUUUUAGAUAAUAGAGAAUAUAAAAAGAUGAGAUUGAGGGAAGAUGAAAGAACCUCUCUUCCUAUGUUAAUUAGGUGAUAUAUUUUAAGGCACUAAAGUUUAAUUGAUAGCAUAAUAAAUUUUAAAGAAGCCAAAAGACACUCGACAAAAGGUUGCAUAAUUAAAUAUGGGAUUAUGGCAUUAAAAUUAGGCAUUAGUGGCAUUGUUGAGGGAAAAUAAAAGAACCUCUCUUCCUAUGUUAAUUAAUUCAUGUAUUUUAAGCCACUAAAGUUUAAUUGGUAGCAUAAUAAAAUAAAUAAAUGUUUCAAAAGACUUAUAAUUAAUUAUUAUUAAUUAUUACAUAUUGUUGAAUUUAAAUAAAAAGAGAAAAAAAGUACAAAGAAUAUCUACUAAUAUUUUAGAUAUUUUAGAUAAUAGAAAAUAUAAAAAAAUGAGGAAUGAUAUAUAUUAAUAAAGUUACUAUUUAUUAAAUGAGUUAAAUAUAAUGAAAUUAAUUAUGAGAAGAUGAAAAGCCAAAUCUAAAAAAAAAUUCUCUAUUUAUUAGAUAAUAGAGAAUAUACAAAUAAGCGAAAUGGUGAUGCCACAUCACCUCCUCAAGUCCCAACUUUAUAUAGAUAUAUAGAUAGAUCACUAUAUUUAUUUAUGAUUAAUUCAAUUACGCUAUCAUAGCGAUUCUUAUAAUUUUGGUUGAGCAGUUUUCACUUUCAUCCAGCUCAAAAACUUAAAAUUACAAAUUGAAAAAAAAAUUGGAUUUUAUUAUCAGAAAUGCUGUUAUAGGAAUCUUUAAAUUUUCGCAGAUGUUCUUUUCAGAAAAACUUAUUUAACAUUUUUUUUAAGAUAACUUUAAAUCGUUAAAAAUAAUCCACAAAUAUACAAAUAGAAAAUUAGAAUGAUGAUCCACACUCGUAUCGAAGCGCGUGACUUGAAAGCUAAACAAUAUCCUAAAAUCUGAAAGAUAUCCGCCUCUUCCGAUCAGCCAACGGAUUUGCGAAACUACUAUUGGCGUGUGGGCCAGGAAAGGGACACCGAAUAUUAAAGACGUGGCAUCAAUGUGCUGGAUGGAAUUUGGGCAAUCUCGUCAUUUUAAUUGUCAAUCACGACUAUAAAAAUGGAGGACCUCGAGCCUUGCCUUCCCACCGUUUCUCAGAUUAUCUUCACCUUUAAUUCGAUAAAAGGCCUCCUUCUGUUCUCUCUGUCAAGGUAAUAAUGAUUAUAAUUCAUCUCUUUAGCUUUUUUUUUUUUUUAAUUAAUAUUUAUUUUACCGAUUAUUCUAGCUGCUAUUAUGUCGUGCUUUGUCGAUUAAUUCGUAGAUUGGUUUUUUUUUAGUUAUUAUUGUUUAUCUUGAUAUGUUAUUUAUAAGCUUUUCAUUAGCUGUAAACUUUUGUAGGCGAUCGCUUAUUUGUUGUUUGAGGUUAUAAUUAUGGCGAUUUAACACUCAAAUCAGCCUCGUUGAUUCUAUCUAGGGUUUUGAUUUAAUGGUGUUAUAGUGCUCUUUCGGAGAUAAUUUUGAAUUUUUUGGUGUUAAUUUUAGGCAUAUCUUGUAAUUCUAUGAGACUUGUGAAAAAAAAAUUAAUUAACAAAGAAAAAGGUAUGCCGAAAUCUUUACUUAUGAUUGAUCGUUCUUGAAAAUCUCUUUUCUAUUUUUUGAUCUAUCUAGAGAUCUACAACUUUUCUAAAUUUUCUGUUAGUUUUUCCUUGAGAGACCUGCCCGAAAGUGUCUUUGAAUUAUGUAGUGACUACGUCUAACACAGCUCUGUGUCGUUGGUUAUGUUAAUAUUGUUUGUUUGGUUUGAUUGUUUUGUAUGGAUCUAUUCUGAUAUGGUGUUUCUUUGGUCCAACAGAUGCAAAUCUUUGUGAAAACUCUCACCGGCAAGACAAUAACCCUUGAGGUUGAAAGCUCCGACACCAUUGAUAAUGUAAAAGCCAAGAUCCAGGACAAGGAAGGGAUCCCACCAGAUCAGCAGAGGCUUAUCUUUGCUGGUAAACAGCUCGAGGAUGGUCGCACACUUGCUGACUAUAAUAUCCAGAAGGAAUCAACCCUCCACUUGGUCCUUCGACUUAGGGGUGGUAUGCAGAUCUUUGUAAAGACCCUCACUGGCAAGACGAUUACUCUUGAGGUGGAAAGCUCCGACACCAUUGACAAUGUGAAAGCCAAGAUUCAGGACAAGGAAGGGAUCCCACCAGACCAGCAGAGGCUUAUCUUUGCCGGUAAACAGCUCGAGGAUGGUCGCACACUUGCUGAUUAUAACAUCCAGAAGGAGUCAACCCUCCACUUGGUCCUCCGUCUCCGUGGUGGUAUGCAGAUCUUUGUAAAAACCCUCACUGGAAAGACUAUCACCCUGGAGGUGGAAAGCUCCGACACCAUUGACAAUGUCAAAGCCAAAAUUCAGGAUAAGGAAGGGAUCCCACCAGACCAGCAAAGGCUCAUCUUUGCCGGUAAACAACUAGAGGAUGGACGCACACUUGCAGACUACAACAUCCAGAAGGAAUCAACCCUUCAUUUGGUCCUCCGUCUCAGGGGUGGCAUGCAGAUUUUUGUGAAAACCCUGACUGGUAAGACUAUAACUUUGGAGGUUGAAAGCUCUGACACGAUCGACAAUGUCAAGGCCAAGAUCCAGGACAAGGAGGGCAUCCCACCUGAUCAACAGAGGUUAAUCUUUGCCGGCAAACAACUCGAAGAUGGUCGUACUCUUGCUGACUACAACAUCCAGAAGGAGUCAACCCUUCAUUUGGUGCUUCGUCUCCGUGGUGGUAUGCAGAUCUUUGUGAAAACGCUCACCGGAAAAACAAUUACUCUUGAGGUUGAAAGUUCUGACACCAUCGACAACGUGAAAGCAAAAAUUCAAGACAAGGAGGGUAUCCCACCAGAUCAGCAGAGGCUCAUUUUUGCUGGAAAGCAGCUUGAAGAUGGAAGGACUCUUGCAGACUAUAACAUCCAGAAAGAAUCCACUCUUCACUUGGUUCUUCGCCUCCGUGGUGGUAUGCAGAUUUUUGUGAAGACACUCACUGGGAAAACCAUCACAUUGGAGGUUGAGAGUUCGGACACAAUUGACAAUGUGAAGGCUAAGAUCCAGGAUAAGGAGGGGAUUCCCCCAGACCAGCAGAGGUUGAUCUUUGCUGGAAAACAACUUGAGGAUGGAAGGACUCUUGCCGAUUACAACAUCCAGAAGGAGUCCACUCUGCAUCUUGUGCUCCGUCUCCGUGGAGGUUUCUGAGUUUGGUCAUCUGGGUGUGUGUGUGUCUUAUUUGCUUCAGUUUGUCUUUUGUUAAUGUUUGCUUGCUAUUGGUGAAAUGGCUUAAAUAACUAUUUCAAGUUUAUUUUGGUUUGUGGUAGUUGAACUCUGUUUCUAAGAUAUUGAUAUGGUCCCACUAAGGUCCCAUUAUAAUAUCUAAGAAUCUUUUUCUUGAAUAAAUACAUGUUUAAUGUGCAGUACUUAUAUUGGUUGAUCGCCCAUUUCUUGUUUGAUUUGUGUGUUGGUGUUUCGAUUUGUUUCAAUUAAACAGAGUGUAAAUCUAUCUGCAUUUUCUUCUAAAUUCUAAUGGAGUUGGGGAAGCAUCAAUCAAUCCCCUUAUAUAAUGACAAUUUGGUGUUGAUGGUGAGGGAAAACUCUCGGAAAAACAAAUUCCCGAGGGCUCAAAUGUUUGCCUAAUUUAGCCUAUUUUCAUCCGCCCUUUAAAACUUUUCCAUCGCUGGUCUUUACAAAUGAAGCCUGAAACCGUGUACCAUUGCAUAUUCAAAAUCUGGCCGCUGGCCGCCAGGAAAGAUAAAUUACUUACGAAUUUUACGUUUGGUAUUUGUCUUGACAGCUUGAGAAAUCUUCUUGCAUUUAUCCCUAUCACCAUUUACCCAGCCAAUCUACCCUUCUAUUUUGUACAAUGAACUCUAUUAGUCGCUUAAUAGAAGAAGAAUUGUUCCUUUAUAUUUUUUUUGUGCACGCAUCUUAUACGGUUACUAAAACAAAACCGAUAAACCAUGAAUGCAAUACUAGAUCAAAUGCUUUGGGCUGAUUAAUCUUGGUGAUCAAAUGCUAACAAGAUCUUUAAUUUUGCAAUUUCAGCUGCAUCUCGUCAUGCAAUGCAAGACUUACUCAGUAUUGAGUCUGAGUUGACUAAGCAGAUCAAGACGUAUCAGAUUUAAGAGCUGGAAUGUGCUAUUCAGAGAUAAAUAUCAGUCAAACCAAUUACGAUUGCAAGAAAAAGAAAUCAACGAUACAUCAAUUAAUUAACAAAAACAUAUAAUAGAAUGAAAAGAUAGCAUCAAACUAUCAAUUAAUUUUCCUCACUAUUACUGAAUAUUAAGUAAUUUAAAAGUAAAAAAAUAAUGCGAGUUAGUUAAUACUUUCGUCGCAUCUCCUCUCUUUACUAAAGCCGUCCACUACCCACAAUGAGUUUUAGUUUGUAUUAUCAAAUUUGCGCAUUAACUGUACAACUACCCCUAGUGGGUGGGUAGGAGAGAAUUUGCAAGCUUGGGGUUAAAAUCGUUAUUCUUAAAUGUAUUAUUAACCCAAAAAAAAAAGAAGCAAAAAAACACCAAUUCAAUUAAUUAGAAAGAAAAAUGGAGAAAAAAAUACAGAAUAUGAUCCUCUCUUAAUUUGAGUUUUUUUCAAAUUUUUAAAGAUUUUGUAUCAUAUGUUCUUUAGAGAAAAUGGCUUAAAGAACAAGAUUUAACUAUUAUUAUUUUUAUUUAAUUAACUAUUAAUACUCCAAGUGAAUUUUAUUAAAGAAAAGUUUAGAUUAUGGGAGAAUCGAAACACAUAGUGCUUUAGGAUAUUACGAGCCACGGGCAGAGGUCAUAUAAGACUAGAGGAUGCCAUAGCCUCUGUAGAAUAUUAAAAAAGUGUAGGGUUUUUGAAUAAAAUAUGAAAAGUUAAUGUAAAAUGUCUAUAUUGGUCCUUACACAAUUAAUGUAUAAAAUUUAUAUAUUAAAUAAUAUUAUAAUUUUAAUGUUAAGUCUACUAAUGAUAGUAUCAAAAUAAUAAAAAACAAAUCAACUAAACCCAAUAAAUCAUUAAAAUAUAUAAUAAAAAAAUGAAAGUUUAAAUUUAGGGUUCGGUUAUGUUGUAACUAUGAUACCGUUCCAUGCUACAGUUGAAACUAACCAUUAAAUUCACUUAGAUGGAAAGUGCAACAGUAAAUUUAAGUAAAUUCAAUGACCGGUUGCUACAAUUACAACAUAGCCAAGUCCUUAAAUUUGACCCAAUUUUCCCUUGAGCUCCGCCCUGAUUACGACAUAUGGCUACACUUAAUUCAUAAAAGUAAGCAGUGUUUGUUUCCGGCCACUUGGCAACUGAUGACUGAUGAGGCUACUUGUCUUUUAGAGAAUGGCAUAUGGCUACAAUUAAAUGGGUCCGCCUAUGUUACAACUGUAGUAACAUACCACAGUUUUUGUCCUUAUUCUCCAAAGUUGUUGGAUGCUUACUUGCUCAAGGCUAAAAUUAAUUAUUAGAUAAUUGAUACAGCUACUUACAACCAUUGCAGCCGGUUACGUAUUAAUAUAGCAUUUUUUGUGCUGAUUGAAUCACUUAAACCCUUAAUUCAAUUCUCCGAAUCUGCAGAUGCAAUCUCUGUUUUCCGUUUUGAUUGCCGCCAAAUUUGCCGCUGCAAAUACCUCCGUCGUUUGAGGGUUCAUUUGUGGCUGAUUAUGGUGUUAUCGUUGCCCUUCUUUUAUUUUCUCGUUCCUCAUCUAAGUCAUUCGUUUUUGCUCGAUUUCUUAUCGGUGGCUUUUGCCUUCUCUGUGGCUUUAUUGUUCUCUCUCAAUCUCGCUCUUCCUCGUUUGCCUUCGAUUCCUUUGUUCUUCGCCCGUUCUUUCUCAAUUAAGCUCACUAAUUCUUCCAAAAUCUCGAUGUCGCCUCUGCCUGUGUUUUGGUCAAUUGGGUCAAGGCCCAAGCUAGAAAAGAGGGGAAAUUCGGGUUGCUGGGUGCAAGCUUACAGCAAUGGCAACGUUUAUGAGGGUGAGUAUAACAAAGGGAAUGGCGACGUUUAUGAGGGUGCAAGUUUACAGCAAUGGCGACGUUUAUGAGGGUGAUUAUAACAAAGGGAAUUGUUAUGGGAGUGGUGUGUAUUAUUGGUAGAUAUGAAGGUGACUAGGGCUGAUGGCAAAUAUAAUGGAUAUGGAGUCGAGACUUAGGGCAGAGGGAGCCGAUAUAGGGGUCAAUGUAGGCAAGGCCUUAGGCAUGGAUUUGGGGUUUAUAGGUUUUAUACCGUAGAUGUUUAUGCAGAUGAGUGGUCUAAUGGGCAGAGUCAUGGAUGUGGAGUUCAUACUUGUGAGGAUGGAAGUCGAUAUGUUGGCAAAUUUAAGUGGGGUUCAAGCAUGGCAUUGGCCAUUACCAUUUUAGGUAAUUUUUCUUCCCCUGUGGACUUAGUUUUAUUAAUUAAUUGGGGUGUCUCGUGUUAAUAUUUAUUAAGUGUUUGUUAUUGGAUUGUGCUAUUUGUUGUUAGAGUUAAGGACUGGUGACCUUUGUUUGUGCAUUGGUUUCCAUGGUUAUUUUUUAGUUUUUACUUCAGUUUUGAGGGCAUUGUUGAUAGCACUAAAUUGAAUUAAUGAAAUGGUACUUGCAUGAAUGGGGAAAGAUGAGGCACUUAUCUGUUAGAAUAUGGUCAACAAGGAUCAUAGCGUAAGCCGUGUAGUUUUGAUUUAUGAAAUCUAUUCCUUGUAUCAUUUUUUAUUUCAUCACCAGGAGUUUACUAGAGAUAUUGAUCAUCUGAUUGUGUUUCACUUGUUUCAAAUUAGUGUUCUUACAUUAGUACUAGACUGUUACCCUUUAGUGGAUUCGCUGACAACUGUUGGAUGAUAAUGUAAGUGAGCUUAGGUUUGAUUGUAAUUUUAUUAAUCAGUGGAUAAAGGUUAUAGUGAUCUUGAAGAUGACAUUCAUUAGGAUAAUUUGUGUUCAUUUUGUUGGUCUAGAUACCUUGCUUAAUUUCAUUAGAUAGUAAGUUUAAUGGUAGAUUGUAGCAAUUGUUUGUUCUGGUAUUUUUUUAAUGCAUAAGCCUAUAAAUCGUUUCCUUCUCAUAUUGACAUCCAAUUUUCUUACUUAGAAAUCGGGAAACAUAUGCUGGAGAAUAUUUUGCGGAAAAGAAGCAUGGAUUUGAUGUCUAUCAUUUUGCCAAUGGGCAUCUGAAUGAGGGAGCCUGACAUGAGGGUAUAAGACAAGGCUUGGAAUGUACACAUUAAAAAAUGGGGGUUACUGGCUAAAUAGAGGGAGAGAACAGAGGCGACGGCAAUAGCUUGUGUUUAAACAAUAUUUGCCUUUUCCAUCUUUUUAAGAGUUUUGUAAAGUUAGAUGUAACGCAUGAGUUGGAGCGCUGGUAAAAGACUUUCGGCUCAGCCUUUGUUGUAUGUGGACUCAUUGGUUUUCACAACGAAAUAUGAUCAAUGCCUGACUGUAUCUUGGGGAGUUAAUGGAUUUAAUCCAAAAGGAUAAUCAACCUAUGCCUUUGAAGGAAUUGAUUUCAUUCCGCUAAAAUACGAUAAUAAAACUUUAAUUUCAAUUGGAGCUAGUUUCUCAUGAAUGAUUACCAAUAGUGGAAAUCAAUUUUCAUUGUGGCCCAUUUAAAUAAUUAUAGCCAUGAUGUUUAACACCAAAAUUUUGAAGCAACAGACCCUGCAGUUAACACCACAAAACUAAAAGUCCAUCAAAAUAUGUUUAAUAAAGAGAUUCAAAUUCAAAACUUUCCAAACCAAAUAUCCAAGCAUUGAAAUCCAUUUAGACAAUCCUGCCCCAGGAAUUACUCCUAUCACAAAUAAAUGAAAAGAAAAAAAGAUAGAUUGGCAACAAAAUUAACUCAGUCUGCUCCCUCAGCGUCCAAAUGGUACUUCUCAUGGUCACAGCUCUAGCAAUACUGGAAAGGAAUAUAGGACAGAAUUUAGAAUCAUUUAAAUUGAAUACUCAAAAGUAAAUAGGACAGACAAUGAGAAUCUUACUUCAAAGUGUAAGCACCUCCAGCUUUCACCUUGCCAAAGUCUUUACAAGAUUCCCACAACCUUCCUCUUCACAGCAUACUACCAAGAGCAAGAAAUAUGUAAACAUUUAAUACAUCCACAAGCAAAAGCGAACAGUCAUUGAACCAUGAGCAUAAAAAGAAAUGAAAAAAGAUAAAGAGUAGGAAAGAGGGGAAUGUAGUACCUUCCCACAGAAUUCACAGAAGCACUUGCUGAGUGGACUGACCUCCAUCUUCUUAAGCUGCUUACACAGAUGAACUUUGGUUUCUCCUUAUCAUUUAUAGCUCCUGCUGCAGUUGAAUCAAACUUUUAUUACAUUUCACAGAACCAGAUGAACUUUGGACAGGUUCAUAUUCUGUAGCAAUCAUAAUCCGAUAUCCCUGAGCUACAAUCAGCCACCGAUUCAGCUACCAAUUCUCCAAUUUUAAACUUGGAUUUCUCCCUUGAUCAAGCAAAACUUGAUUCAAGCUCCCCAUUUGACACUGCAGAUUCUGAUUCUAAUUCUAUUUCAAUGUAAACUAACAAGAAUAAAUUUAAAACUGAAAUUUUCGGUUGCAUCGUGCCUGAUUAUCUUGUAUCAUUGCUUUAUCCUGGCUUGUAAUGUAUAAUAGGAGAACAUAUAAUUUAGGAACAUAAGAGCCUUCUUUCUAGUGGGCUAGGGAUAUAAAUUAGUCUUAGUACCACUUGUAAGUUUUACAUUUUAUCUAUAAGAAGCAAUUGUAAUAAACUUGAUUUGCAAAUGCUGCAUAACUUUCGGAAAACAAUCUGGCAGUGCUCAGAAUGUGGGAGAUGAGUUCAUAUAAAAUCGAAUCAAGCAAGACACAGCAGCAAACCAUACAAGAUUUUUUUAAACAACAGCUAAUACAAAAACUCUGUGAAAUUCAUCAAGUAAGCAAAUUCAAGAAGAAUGCAACAAUCUUGCUUCGAAGAAGAUUUCCACCAUAUUACACGUUAGAAGAGAAUUAAAAAAAAAUUGUAUUAAGCCAGAUUCAACAAUAAUCACCGUCAGAAAUUUACUGAAGUACAUAAUACUUAGCAAAAAACCAAUUUACUGCAACUAACUGAUGCUUCAAUUCAUUAAUCCACAUGUAGAUAAAAACAAUAAAUUAUAAAGGAUUAGGAUUAUCAGCUUACAGGUCAGUCAGAUAAAAACAGUUCCUAGCUAACCUAUAGUAGCCAUCUCUUUUAUUCAGCUAAGUAGUUUCAUUAUACUGAAAAUCGAGCCCCUAGAAAAAAAAAUUGAAAAAUCAUCAUUCCCGCAUUCCAAUAAAUCAAAAUUGCACAAAUAAGAGGGAAAAAAGCAUAAAUUUAAAAAUAACUAAACAAUAAAAAAACUCAAUGAAGGAGUUAGAUAACAACUCAAUCAAUGUACUGGGAUGCACUGUAUAAUGCAACUCUUAUCUUGGAAAAAUUAAUAAAUGUAUAAUGCAUGCCAAAUAGAAAAAACACACAAUCCCAUAAAAAUGAACGAGCAAGUAAAGUAGAAACCUCACAAAAAAGUGGUUAAAUGUUGAAACAUAAAUAUUAUGCCAUUUUUUUCGAUCUAUACUUCAAUGAUCAAACUAGCAAACUGUAUGUAGCUAAUUAACCAUGUGUAAUAUGUGGCCACAGUUGAUAUUUACUGGUAGAAAGGAAAAAGAUAGCAUCUAAAGAAAGUAUGAGCCACCAAAAACAAGUAAACUCAUAUAUAAAACUUUAUUUUUCUUUCUUUUUAAUACAUACUCAAAAAAGUAUUACAGUGUAGAUGAUUACCCCAGUGCCGCCUUAAUCAAUUCAAUUCCAACUUAUCUUCAACACCAUUUCACCCUUCACAACCAAAGCAUUUUCAACAACAGACCAUGAUGCAAAUCCACGACAAAAUGACUCACAAAUCUCAAAGCUACAUCAAAACAAGCAAAUGGGUUUUCUCAAAGUUUAUUCAAAUUCACAAACACGGCAUAAUAUGUCAAUAAUCUUGCAAUGCCUGCAAACAACCCAGUUCUAUAAUACCAAAAAUAACAACUUCGAUGAUCCACAAGUAAAUAAAAUAAAAUAAACCAUUCACUGAGAAAAAUCCCAAGUAAAAAAUAUUCAUAAAUUCAUCACAAGAAAAUAAAAAUGAUUAAAGAUUUAAGAAAAGAAUGUAAAACCUUCCAUGCUUGCCCAAUUUCUGAGAAUUCCCCUCUAUCUUUCGCAAAAUUUUCUUUAAUUCGUUCGAUAGUUGAAACCUAUUAAACCAAAAUGCGAAAGUGACAAAUGAGAGCGUCGGUAGAACUUGGUCUUUUCCAGCUGGAGGCGACGACCAUGAAGGGGAAGUUCCGUUGGUGACUUCGAGGUGGCGAUAAGUACAAUCAGACUCAACGUCGGUUUACAUCUAUGCAACCCUUAGGCAACAGCCAACUGUGCAUUUUCACAGAGCUAAGCUGAGUAACCCACCGUGGGUUUUGUUACAAGUGAUUUUUUCUUGGAAAAUGCUUAACAUCAAGAAUUAAGGGUGGGCAUUUUCCGGUUUGGUUCUUAAAAACUCAAACCGAACACGAACCGAAUUUUAGAAUCGAUUCCAGUUCGGUUUUAAAAUUUGAUUCGGUUCGGUUUGGUUUAGUUUGGUUCGGUUUGGUUUAGUUUUAAAAUUACUGUAUUUUAUAAUUUUCACCUAAUCUCACUGUAUUUUAUAAUUUUUACUUGCAUUUUACAUAAUAUAAGUUCACAACAAGAAAAAUAAAAAGUCUUGUAUACUAAUAUUUUCCAAUAGUCUUGUAUACUAAUAUUUUUUUUUAAAAAAGAGUAACUUCCAAAUUUUAUCAUUUGAAGUUUUGAACAGAUUGUUGGAUACAAGUAUUGUUUGUUUUUAUUUUGAUUUAGAAGUUUCAGGACAACAAACAUUCUCUGUAUCCGAUAUACACCAACACCUCCACAAAAAUUCCGAAAGCAAUGUACAAUUUCACAAACAUUUUCACAAUAUACAAUUAUACAACACCUUUGACUUUACUUGUACAAUUUCAAACUGCUAGCAACCAACACCUCCACAAAUUUAACCCCAUAUAAGCUUCAAUUCAAACACAAUUUCAGACUGCCACAACAUAAAUUAAAAAAAAUAAUCCGCAGCGGUGAAGAUUAAAGACGCGGGCUAAUGGCAGAAGGUUUGGACCAGGGAGACCGUGAGGUGUGAGACUGAGUGAUGAGUGGCGGUUAGAACAGUGAGGCCCGAAGACGAGCGGCGUGAAACCGUGAGCGUGAGCGUGAGGGACCGAGGGCUUUGACGGCGUAACCACGCUUGAAGACCGUGAGCGUAAGGGACUGAGGGCUUUGAGCCUUUGACGGUGAGCGUGAGGGACCGACGGCUUUGACGGCGUCACCACGCUUGAAGAGAUGCGCCACCGCUGACCGUGAUGCAAGGGACCCAGGGAGAGGCCGUGAGUCACCGAUCCGAUGAGGGAGAUAGCUGGAUUUUGGACUUUAGGUUUAGGAAUUAGGGUUACGAAAUUAGGAAUUAGAAAAAGGGAAUUUUUGAUUUAGCAUUUUAUAUUUUUGAUUUUGAAUUUUGAUUAAAUUAAUUUGUAAAUAAUUAGACUGAACCAAUCGGUUCUUCGGUUCGGUUCGGUUUUGAACCGAACCGAAUGUAAACCAAUCGGUUCUUGUAAUUUCAAACCAUUCAGUUUUUUACCUUAGAACCGAAUCGAACCAAAUUAAGUUUUUUCGGUUCGUUUUGGAAAAAACCGAACCGUUUGCCCAACCCUAUCAAGAAUGACAAGAGAAUGCUGAGAGAAACGGCAGCACAAGCUGCCGUUUUGGUUUCUCUCUCUUACCGUUUUAAUAAUUUUUUAUUCUUAAAAAUAUAUUAAAAAAGGAUUGAAGAUAGCCCAUCACGUGCAUCACUCUCUCACCAUUCUGACCAUUUUCCUUUACAUCUUUAAAAUGUUUAAGAGAAAAGCAAAAGUAAAAACACAGGGCUAAGAUUUUGGCUUCCCAUUUUCUAGUGUUUUUUUUUCAACAAUAAAAAAAAUAGCAAUAUUUAAAUCAAAACAAUAUAUAUGCUCCUAUGAUAUUAAUGACAUUUCUCCAAUUAAAUUCUUUAUCCUAUUAAAUUAGAAGAACAACUGAAUCGAAUCCCAAUACUAGUUAAAUAGCUUGGACUAGAACCAUACUCUAAAUCUUGAAAGUACGUGAGCUGCUAGGACUGAGAACCCCCUUGGCUCAUUUUCAGGUGGUUUGAUAGACGAUCACGACAGAAAAAAAAUUGUUCAAGAGUAGUGCACCACUCUCUUUCUCAGCAGAAUGCUAAUUUUUUAUUGUUGAAAAUAUAAAAAAGGGAGAAAAAUGAAAGAAUCUGGAGAGAGUGAGGCUGGAGAUAGUGAGGCCGAAGAGACUGAGGAAGCUUGAUGGGGGAGCCGUAGAGAGUGAGGAGCCAGAGAGAGGAUGAAAGUCAAGAGAGGGAGAGGGAGAGAGAGAGUGAUGGAGUGAUGGAGAUUUGGUAGAUGUGGGUUGUCUGCUAUCAUUUUUUCUGCUUUUUUAUUUUAUUUUUAAUAAUAAAAAAUUAUUAGAAUGGCGAGAGAGUGAGAAGUCGAAACGACAGCACAAAGCUGCCGUUUCUCUCAGCAUUCUCUCGCCCUUCUUGAUGUUUAGCACAACUCUAUGUGAUAAUACCGAUUAAUAUAUCAUAUCAAUCAUCAUGCAUAGUUAGCCACUCGUCCUCUCUUGAGUCAUGACCUUUCUUGUUUUUAAAGAAACCUCGUUGGACUGAGGGAAAUAUUAUUUAAAUAAAAAGAAAAAAAGUCAAUAUAAGGUAGGGAAAAUGUAAUGAAGCUUAUCCUUAAGAAAAUACAAAUGCAUGACUCAUGACCUAGAUUCAUAUUAGGUCAACUUCUUUACAACAACAAUAAUAAUUGAAAUUAAACCAAGUUUUCAAUUGAAUUACCAUCCGUGUGCCAUUAGGUUUUUAAUUCAGUGGUAAUCCACAUUCUUAAAUAUAUAUGGUGGGUUCAAGCUCUCACGAGUCAUAUUUUCUCAAAUUUUAAUAAAAUUAGACAUCUCUUUAUAUAUUUAUAGGAUUAAAUUUUAAAAUUAUUAUUGUAGAUUUUUGAACUAUAUUAUAAAAUAUAUGUAUUAACUUUCAAUUGAUUCCAGAUUAUAAUGUAUUUCUAGAUUUUAAUAGUUUCAAAAGAAUAAAAUUACCAUAAUAUCAUCCAUAGAAAAGAACGACAUAGAGUAUAGGAGAAGAGUCAAAUUGCUGGCAUAUAGAAGGACGUAAGUGUGGGCUAGACUAGUGUUGUAGGAUAAAAUUACCACUUAGUCUAAGCUCUCCUAAUCUUUUAAAUAUAUUGUGCCACCUAUCUUUUUAUUGCUAGUGUAUAUUUAAUAUUUAACUAUCUUUAUUUGUUUAAUUUAUUAACCACCAAUAAUGUGAAUGAAAAUUGUCCAGGAGAUGAUUAGAUUACGAGAGGAUGCUGAUUCUUCAAUACUUUUUUCUCUUCUUUAAUUACAAUUGGAGACUUAAUUUAUAAAUGUUUAAUCUAUAUAUGUAUUGAAUAAAUUAAAAUAGUUAGGAGGCUAAAAUGUAAUUACUACUUUAACCUAUUGCCAAAAAAAAAAAUAUUACUAUUGGUCUAAUUGAAAGGAAAAUAUGUCAUUGUAUUACAAAAUUGUCAUUAGUAUUAGAAAGUUACCAAAUGGCUUAUGGUAACAAUUAACAACACUUUCAUAGUUUUAUGAUUUAUUUCCUUCAAAAUCAUAUUUUCUGCAAUAAAACCUCUCUAUAGUCAUAAUAUUGGGAUCAAAUUAAUUUAUUACAAUGAGGAUGUUAUAACUUAAUAGAAGUGUAAUGACAAUUUUUUUUUUUUUUUUGACAUGGUUAAUCUUAGUGCAAGUGAUAUAGCGGUAAAGUAUUUGCUACAUUAAAUUAACUAGUAGAUAAGGUAGAAAUAUUUUGACGUCAACAAGAAGGUGUCCAUGAUAGCAAGUGAUUAUGUACCUAUAAGUUAAUGUAAAAGCGUAUAUAUUUUAGUAAUGAUAGAGUUAUAAACUUUUGUACAAAUUUAUUUUAUUCAAAGUAUAAUUCAAUUGGUUAGAUCAAAUAGUUCUUGGCUUACACGAUGACAUGGUUAAUCUUAGUGCAUGUGAUAUAGAGGUAAAGUAUUUGCUACAUUAAAUUAACUAGUAGAUAAGGUAGAAAUAUUUUGACGUCUACAAGAACAAGAAGGUGUGCAUGAUAGCAAGUGAUUAUGUACCUAUAGGUUAAUGUAAAAGCUUAUAUAUUUUAGUAAUGAUAGAGGUAUAAAUUUUUGUACAAAUUUAUUUUAUACAAAGUAUAAUUCAAUUGGUUAGAUCAAAUAGUUCUUGGCUUACACGAUUUAUUUUUAUUAUUUUGCAUUUUCAUCUAACUAAUGAAUUUAGAUCACAUCAGUUCAUACAAGAGCUUGUAAAUCUAUCAUCACUCUAUAUUUUUUGUAAUAUACAGAUAAUUAUUACUAUUCAGAGACAACUUCUUUAAAGCAAGAACCAAAAAAUUUAUAAAUUAUUAUAAUGUGGAGUUUAUUUUUAUUUAUAAUUGACCUAAAUUAGGACCAGAAUUUUUUUAUGACUACAAUACUCCGUUAGUUUACAUUCUUACAUUCUUAAUUUUACCUAUAAGCCUCUUAAAUGUUUGACAAAGUGCAAAUUAAAUAUGUUCUGAUUAUAAGAGAAACCUUGAGAGGCCUACUUUGUUGCCUGUAGCUCGAACAUCCUCUUGGAUUUGUUGUUUAUAUUCUCUGAAACUAAAUUUUCUAUAGAUUGCUGGCUUGAUGAUGUUCUCAGUACUCUCAAUCACAGCUUCAUAUGAGGGACAAUAAAAAUAUGCCACUGAAUAUCUUUCAACUUUUGGAUGCGAAACCACCCGGUGUUCAACGCUCUUGUACACUCCGUUGCUCAAUGCCUAAGAUAUCAUAAAUUAUAUGCACGCCCCAUUACAAAUGUUUUUAUAAUUAAUUAAAUUCCGAAUAAGUACCAAAUUAUAAUUUAAUUACCUGAAAUAAGUCACCAACGUUGACAAUUAGAACAUCAGGAUUAGGUUUAACACUAAGCCAUCGUCCAUCUUUCUUCAGCUGCAAGCCUCCCACGUGGUCUUGGUAUAGAAUGGUGAGAAAAUCGCUAUCAGUGUGAGGUAUCAGGCCCAACACCUCGAAUGAUGGCGGGCAUGGAGGAUAUCUGUUCAUUCGAAGGUAACUGGAGCUUGGCAGGCAAUUGUCUCGAAAGUAAGAUGACUUGAUCCUCAAGUUAUGAGCUAAAUACUCAGCCAACCUCUCAGCCAGAUUUGCAGCUUUUGUUGCAAACAAUCCGAUACUUGAUCUGAAGAAGAUGGUGAAGAACGUAGGAAAUAAGAUCUCAACAUAACUAAAUUAUAUCACAUACACACAGCAAAUUGUGUAAUAGUUCAAAUUCAGUCAACACCUAACACAUGACAAAUAGCACUGAAGAAUGCUAAAGAGACUCUAAGAGCGGACAAACCACUGAUAAAAAAAUUGACAAAUUGCUGCCGAUUUAUGAGUGAACCAGCACUAAUUUACCCCCCUUUUUUUCAACCUUUUUUUAACUGAAUAUCACUGCUCAUAAUGAUUGAUUAUACAUUACUUGUACUUCAAACAAUCUGUUCCAACUAAUACAAGUAUAGUAUAUUACUUUUUGAGUUGCUUAUAAAUUUAAACCCAUGUCGUCUUCGAUGCUGAAACAUUAAAAUUUAUAUAUAUAUAUAUGUUAAAAGGUUAAAUUUUCCCUUCGACAAAGACAACAUGGGCUAUUUAAAUUUGUUAAAAAAUCCAAAGUGGAUGGUAAAAAUAUGCUGAAGAGGGUUAGAUAUAAGUGUCAUACUCCCUUAAUCAAAACUACCAAAAUCUACCGCAGCCAAAAUAAAUUCAUCUUAUCUUAAUGUAUCGAAGCCUCUUGGACAUGCAUUGCAUGCUUGAAAAAGUACACAUAAUCUCGUGAAAGUAUCGAGGGAUGGAAUGCUGAGGAGAGUGUGCAAAUGUUUAGGAGUUAGGCGGCAUUGUAAUGUCAAGCAUGCACAUGACAUGACUUGGAUAAGGUUUGAAACUUACCAAUACCAUUUAGCGGUUUGAUAAGAUUGAAAUGAAUAACAAAGCUAAGUACUUUGUGUGUCUCUGGUCUCUAGGUUCAAGUUUUAUGUCCUACAUGGAAUAUCUAACAUUUGUGAUCCUCAUAAUUCGAUAGGAGUCCAAAUCAAAACAAAGAACUCAUGGGUCAUCACCAACAAAAAAGGAAGGAGAUAACUACAAACAUGCAACAAAUCAUUUAAGAGAUCUGACAAAACUUAGGUAUGUAUGAGGCAUCGACAUGUGAUUAUGGGACCAAAACCUUAAGGCUGUAAGAGGCAUCGACACAAUUAAUAUUAUUUUCUUCAAUUCAUUUAAAUGAUUAAUUAGCCAAAGACACCUUUAUCAGUAGUAGUAAAGUAAAUUUGACAUUGAGUGUUUACGUGUGGUCAUUUUAUUCCUACUGUACUGCAAAGGUGUGGUAGAAGUAGUGGUCACGUACGUUGCAUUAUAUUCACAGAUUCAAGAGGCUAUAUUCAAAGAUCAUUGGAAUUAAUCAAAAGGUUACUUUCUUUUUUUUUUUGGUAUUUUGUUUUUCAUUUUUCAUGAUAGAAAAUCUUUAAAAACUCAGUAGAACUCAUAUUAGGAGAGAAUUUUAUUCCUCCGUGCAAUCCUUCUCCCUACUUUCUUGUGUACUUCUCAUCUUGUAUUUGAUAAAUUCGGUAAAAACUCAUUUAUUCUUUAUAUUUUGAGGUUAGUACCCGUUUAGUCCCUAUAUUUUGAAAAAUAUCUUAAAACAUCCUCGACAUUAAAUUAUUAGCACCUUUGCCGUUACUUUUUGUUGUUUUUUGCUUGAUUUUACAAUAUUACCCUCUUACAAUAAUUUUUUUUGGACAUUAAUAAAAAUUUAAUUACUAAUUUAAUCUCAAAAAUAAAAUAGAAACACAAUGAAUAUAUAUUACUUCUUUUGGAACACUCUGCUGAAGAGUUAAUAUAUUAAUUUUUUAACUAAUGUCCAAAAAAAGGGUAAUUUAAUUUUUUUACAAUUAAUUUUUGUUAGACAUACAUAAGCUUUCAAAAAAAUUAAUAAAUAUUCUUUUUGUUUUUAUUUUAUUUUUGGGUUUAUAUUGAUAAUUUAUUUAUUUUAAUUAAUUUCAUAAAAAAAGAAACAUUAUUGUAAGAGGUUAAUAUUGUAAAAGUAAGAUAAAAGAAACAAAAAAUAACGGCAGGGAUGUCAAUAAUUUAAGGGCAUGGAUGCUUUGAGAUAUUUUUAAAAAUAUAGGAUGCACUAACCUAAAAAAUUUAGGGAUUAAAUGAGUUUUUACCCUUAAUAAAUUAUUUAGUCCAGAUUAACACAAAAAAUAAUGUUACUUGUACUUUUAUAAGCAAGUGUGGUAAAUACCAGAAACAGCCCGACAUGUUAGAUGCAUUUUAUAGAAAAUGUUUAGUGACAAUAAAUAUUAAGACGGGAGUUAAGAGUAAAUUCCCCUACAGAAAAAUUACCGUCAUAAUUGAUAAAUCCUAGAGGGUCUGAAGAUAUGAAUUAAUCGAGCAGUUAAUCAAAUAAAGCAAAAUUAUUAAUGUAAGGAAAUAGUAAUUAUGUAUUGUAGUAAAUACCUGGGAUUAUUGCUUUCAUCCUCCAGUUUUGAAAUGUCAGCAACCGGAAUGUGAAAAGCUUCUGACCAUAGAAACUGCCUCAAACAAGUAGCUUUAGGGUUUCCCCACCUAUAACUAUCAGCUGAUAAAUUCAUGAAAUUUUGUUCAGACUUCUUGCGGAAAGGCUGAUGAAAGAUCUUCAUCUGCUCCUUUCGCAUGCUUUCGAAGACUUUCUGUGGGAUUCCAUGAUUCAUAACUUGGAAGAAACCCCAUUGAGAAGCAGCUUCAGCCAUCUCUUCUAUCCAUUGGUCAAAGCUCCAGAAAUUUAAGCGAGCAAGAUCAAUCAAAGGAAGCUCACAUUCCUCAUCCACUGCGAAAAGCGUCUUAUCGUUUGCUCUUGCAGUAGAGUUAUGGAAGAGGGUUGGGUAAGUUUCUUCAAAUGGAGGUUCUAUAUCAUCCAUGGAGAUAAAGAAACAGAAAUUAAUGCUGCCUCAGGAGUGCUGUCUACUCAAGCCUGUGAAUUGCUAAAGAUAAAUUUAUAGUAAGACAAUCCCAUUUAUUGGAUAAGAAUACUUCUGGGACCAAAGACAUAAGCUUGGCAACUCCCUCAUAAGCUAACAUUUGAGCAGUGUUCUUAAAUGAAUAUGCAUAUAGAAUGAGCUAUCACAUUCUUAUUUAGAUAAUGACAUCUGAAGUUUAUGUCAUGGCAUCUUGUAAAACAAUUAUGUGAAGGUAAAUGCACUUAUGGAAAAAUCCUUCGAUGCUGGAGUAUUAACUGAGAAUUCCCAUAUUUUGUACAUAUCUCCAAAAGGAGAGAGAUUCAAAUUGGACAUACACAAAACUUAAUCCUCGUAUCAUCGAGUACAAUCUAACCAAAAUAUAUUCAGUCAUUUUGAAAUUGACCAAUAAUAGUAAUUAUAAUAACGAGACAGAAAAUUUGAAACAAUUUUAUUGGAUAGUCUAUUGAGAGUGUUCCACCUAAAUUUUUUUAAUUAAAAAAUUCCUCUAUUUAUUAUUUGGGUGGGGCUAUUUGCACUCUAAAUAUUAUUUUAAGUACUCCAGUAAUUCCACUCAUUUAUUUCCAUUCCAUCCUUAGGAGAGAGAAAAAGUAAUCGGCAAGGAGGCAUUACUCCCAUCCGGAAAUGUACAACCAACCUUUCCUCUCCUUUACUCAUCUUCUAAAUUUAAAAAAUUAAGAUUUAUUUUAUACAAUUCUUAAAAUAUCAAAAAGUCCCAACCUAAAUCAUUUAAAUUAUUUUACUCAAAACACCAAGAAAAUUAUCAGGCACAGCCCCAAAAAAAAAAAAAUUUAGAGAUUAAGCAUAUACUUACAAUAAAUGGAAUCAAAUGAAGUAUUUAUAAACAAAUUCUAUACAAAAGCUUAAUUAUUAGUUUUGGUUUAUUAAAUAAUAUGCGAAAUCUUCCCGCUUAGUUGAGGGUUAUAUAAAAUAGAAAUAUUGAAUAAUAUGCUCAAUAUUGAUUCUUGCAUCCCCAAGAAGCAUGAAUUUUUUAGCCCAACUCAAAAAAAGGGCCAUCUCAUCAAAGGAAAAAAAAAACAAAAAAAGAAGAAGAUGACGAAGAAAAGGAAGGACGAUGUUAGAAGAUUCUUGGUGCUGGUGUAUGCAGCUUCAAUAGUUGAUUGAUUUUAAUUGUAGUUUCCUCUCUCUUUACCGUUCUUGCUUUCUUUCUUCCUUUUUUGCUUCUUUUAUUUUUUUGCCUGAAAAUCAAAAAGAAAAAGUACGGCCAUCUUUACAAUAUUUUACUUUAAUUUUUUUAGAGGGUCACCAUGAACCAUGUUUGGUUAAAGAUGUUAGAAAUAAAUUUUUAGGGUUUAGAAAGAAUUAUAGGUUUAAUAAUAAGUGUGCUACAUGAUUGUCCAAGAUAAUUAUAAUGUUCUCUACUGAGUGAAGAAUUUUCAAUUAAAAUUCAAUUGUUCUUUGGUCUAUCGAAACUGUCGUACCAAAAUAAUUCUAUUUGAAAAUUACUCCAUAGAAGAAUAUAAGUUAAAAUUCAAUUUUUUUUUUAUCCUGUCUUUACAACAUUUCUUUGAAUGCAUGUUCUGAUAUAGAAGUUUAUAGGGCUAACUGAUUUGAGUUGGUAACUAAAUACACACAAGACUUAAGAACUUUCACUAUCAAGACACAAAAUUUGGUGUCAAUUGAUAAGUAACAAAAGAAAUGCAUCUUUGUCCAUAUUAGAAAACCUUCCUUCUUGUUCAUCCCAUUAACAGAAUUUUCACCUUAAUUAGAAGUUUUCGACUCUUCAAUAAUUUUAAAAAAUUUUAAAGACUUAAUUUGGAAAUUAAUUAGGUCAAAACACAGAGAUGUAGAAGUAAUUGGGAAUUGGUUAUUAACUGAUCUGACAUUAUAUAACUCUAAUUGCCUCACCUAUGCGUCCAUGGCUUUGUCAAUGUCGUCAGGCUCUGAACAAAUAUUAGCAGUUGGAGAUUUACACAAAUCAACUUAGGGGAGGAGCAACAAGAUAUAUUUCAUAUCUACAAUCAAUAUCCGAAACAACUAAUUAGUUAACCAAUUUUAUUAAAGGAAACCCUUUUCCAAAAAAAUAAAAAUAAAAAUAACAGUGUAAACUUCGACAUAAUAAUUAAAAUCCUUACCUGCAAGCUAAUUGCUUUUAAGUAUGCAUUUAGACAUGUCCUUGUUGGCACUCAGAGAAAUACAUUAAUGGAGCUAAUUAAAACCAUUUUACUACAUAGUUUGGACUGUUUGAUUAAAAUAUAUUUUAUUUUAGGCGAAGAAUUCCGAAAAAGGCAUUAUUAUUGUAAUAAUUACUAUGGCAAACCAACGGCAUAAUAGCUAUAUAUGUGGUUGAUUUGCGCAGGAAAUUACCCACUUGAGUGACCUUCUAGACAAAAUUCAGGGUUUAGUUUUCUAGAAACCAACAAAUGAAACAUGUCAAGAUCGAGAGAGAGAAUUAUGAUAAAUGCAAAAUGAUCAUCACCUCACUCAUUCCAUGCCACGGUUUCCUCUUAAUAAAUAAUCACACAGAAGAAGCAGAAGCAAAACAAGCCCUUUUGAAGAAGCACGUAUUGAUUUGCUGUAAAGAAAAACACAGAAACGUGAUGAAUUACAUUUUGAGACAGCUGAAAGAGAGAGAAUGAAUCUGAAAUGCCAUGGUUUGUGUAAUUUAGGGUUUCUGGAAUUCAUGGGAUCAUUUAUAAAAGUUCUGAACGUUAGUAAAGCAUACGCAUUGCAGAUUUUUGAGAUCAUCAAUUUAUGGUUAUAAUAAAUAACACGUGUCUAAACAACUGUCCGAAGGAAAGGGGGACGGGCACUUCUAAGUAAUUAACAAGAAAAAGCGUUCACGGAACCAUGAAGAGACCAGUAGGGACUGAAGUCACCGGUGAUUUUUUUUUUUUUCCCCCUCUCCCUCCUGGUGGUCGAUGUAAAAUAUCAUUGCAACCCUAAGUAAAAUAUUAAUUAAGUCCCCAAUAAUUUAGGUUUGUUUUCUGUUGGUCUUUGAGCUAAAUUAGAAAAUAAGUCCAUAGAAAAAUAAAUUCUUGUAUUUUACAUAUUGUUGGAGUUAUCAGAAGCACUCUCUUCUAAGCAAAAUAUCUCGUCACUGAUAAAGUAUCUUUAACUGAAAAGUCCAAAGAUUUUUAUUUAUUUAAGGGGUAAAAAUUCAUUUAGUCCCUAUAUUUUAAGAUUAGUGUCUGUUUAAUCCUUAUAUUUUAAAAAAUGUCUCGAAAUAUCCAUGCCGUUAAAGUAUUGAUACCCCUACCAUUACUUUUUAUUUUUUUUACUUACUUUUACAAUAUUACCCUUUUAUAAUAAUUUUUUUGUUUGAACAUUAAUAAAAAUAAUAAUUAAAUUACCAAUUUCACCCUAGAAAAUAAAAAAAUUAUAUUAAUUUUUUUGCAAGCACCAUUUGCACACUUGGUAGUUUGCAUACAAUUUUUGACAAUUAAAAAUUAUUAUAAUUUUUUUAGGGUUAAUUGGUAAUUUAAUUAUUAUUUUUAUUAAUGUCCAAACAAAAAAUUAUUAUAAAAGGGUAAUAUUGUAAAAGUAAGCCAAAGGAAAUAAAAAGUAACAAUUUAAUUUUUGACAAUUAAAAAUUAAUAUAAUUAUUUUUUAGGGUUAAAUUGGUAAUUUAAUUAUUUUCUUUUUAUUAAUGUCCAAACAAAAAAUUAUUAUAAAAGGGUAAUAUUGUAAAAAUAAGCCAAAAGAAAUAAAAAAUAAUGGUAAGGGUAUCAAUACUUUAACGGCAUAGAUGUUUCGAGACAUUUUUAAAAAUAUAAAAAUUAAAUAAAUACUAAUCUUAAAAUACAUUAACUAAAUGAGUUUUUAUCCUUUAAUUAAGUUGAAAUGAUCACCAUAGUGAAUUUCUCUCUCAUCUUAAAUUUUCAAUUAAUUGGCCUUCAUUCCGCCAAGUCUCUCAUCGUUUUCCUCUCCUCGCUAUCAAUGCAUACGCCCCAACCCAAUAUAUUGCCAAUUGUCAAUGAACUACUAACCUAAUUUUCAAAAGCAUUUCCAUCAACAAGACAAAAUUUUGUCGGAAUUUGGAAGUUAGGGAAUCUUGAGGAGAAACAAAACACUACAUACGGAGGAAGCACUUUCUUAUAGCUUAUUGUUUAAUAUAUAUUGCACUUCUAUAGCGUCUACAAUUGACAAAAAGUCUUAAUAUGUUUGGUAACAGUUGAAAUACAAUCUUAACGGUUGUGAGAACGAAAUCUACUUUGAUAUAUAAAAGUCAUAGUCCAAUUCAAAAAUGUUCUUCUAUAAAAAGAAUUCCAUUCCAAAAAAGAAAAAAAAAAACAAACAAAAUUUUUAUUCACUCACAAAGAGAAUUAGGUCCUCAACUUCAUGAAUCAAAGAAUGAUUUAUUAGUGGAAGUGAUUUUAAUUACUCGUACUUCAGUUGUUUCUUUAACUCCAAAAUUCUUUUUAAUUAAUAUAAAAAUUUAAUGAAAACUAUACAUGAUUACGUGAUACCUCAUUGUUGCACUUGCACCCAAAUGAUCUUUUCAUCAAAUGCAUUAUAUAUUGAAGGAUCUUUGAUCCUUCAAUAAACCUAUAUAUAAUAUAAAUGAAGUAACGGUUUGAAUUAUAUCUAAUUGUUCUCUGUGAAUAGAAUUCCUUCUUAUUAUCGAUGUUUCUCCUCAAAUUUUACCCGAGCAUGUACUUGCAAAGGCACUUUGAUGCUCUUGUUAUCUUUGUGUGUUCUUUGUAUUUAGUAAAAUUCAAAUUUUAGUUUUCUCUAGCCAAUGAGAGAACGGCUAAAAAUCCUUUCUCAUUCUUUUUGGUAUGUAUUUAUAGAGCAAAAAGAGUGGACUUGACGGGAGAUUUGAUUUCAGAUCUAAAUCUUUGUCAUCCCUUCUUAUUGCUUCAUAUUUUUACGUCGUUUUAUAACCGUUCUUAUUACAUUUGAGCUUUUGACACGUGAUUUUGUUAGUAAUCACUUGUCGCUUAUUAUUAUAUUUUUUUGGAUUAGAUCAGCAAUCUUUUCUAGGUUUCAAACGGUUUGUCAUAUAAUUCUUCAUGAGAUCAUAUAUUGGUUUUAUUCUAAUAUAGAUCUGAAGUAAUUUUACUUGUUCUUGGAUAUGUUUUGUAAUGUUUUUAGACACGUAAUGAGGUGUAAAUGACUAUAUAUUUUAGCACUUAUAUGUGUUAACAUAAAUAAAUAAGAAAUCAAUAACACCAAGAUAUAAAAUCCUUUCUUUUUAUUUCAAACUUAAUUAUUUCUUUAAUUUACACGUGGUAUCAAGGGACCAUUAGGAUGUUCAUUGUCUUAAUAAGAAGAACAAGCAUCUGCAUGUCCAUGAAUACAGAACUGUGGGCAUAAGAUAUUCAUGAAAUUUAUUUGGAACAAUUUUUUUUAUUUAUACACUUACGUGAUAAAUUUUUAAAACAUUUAUUUUUAAUUCUACACACUGUUGAAAUAUUAAGAUUUUCCUCCACCCAAUCUUUUUCAAUAAAUAUUUACAUAUUCUUUCUUUGCACCCACAAUUAUAUCUACCAACGAUAAAAAGAUUCGAUGUAUGUGGGUAUGUGCUUAUUUUCGCAAUAAUCAUCCUUUAUCAUUUUAGUUAAUUUGAAUUCACAUGAUUUUGGAUGAGUGGAUCAGACCUAUGGAUUCAAAGAAAUUUAAAAGGGCCAAAUCAAUAUUCUUCUUAUUUCAUUGGUGCAGUGCAAUUCACUGUUUUUCUUUUUCAUACUUAUCCUUUUCUCUGUUUUAUUUCUUUAGGAAUUUUACAUUUCUUAUGUUUAGGGAUGGCAAUGGGGCAGAUAUGGGUUGGAUCUACUCUGCUCCAGAUCCAAAUCCAUAAUAAAAAUUAAGAUCCGUAUCUGCUCCAGAUCCGUCAUGAAUCCAUAUUUUUCGCUCCAUAUCCAGAUCCAAAAAAGAAAUAAAUAUCUAUAUCUGCUCCAAAUCCGAAAAAAAAAAAAUUAAAAUUCAAAUCUGCUCUAGAUCCGUCAUGAAUUCUAAAAUUCAGUAAUAAAAAAGUCAUAAUUUUUUAGAUUGAAAAUUGAAGGCUAAAAUGUAUUGAUAACAAAUAAAUUAUAUAAUUUUUCUCAAAAAUAUAAUAAAUAUUGUAGCUUAUACUUUUACACCAAAACAACAAAUAAGAAAGAUAAUAAAAUAUCAUUCCGAAGUAAUUGCAGGAGUAAGAUCAAUCUAAUAUUCUAUUGUCUCCUUCAUCAUUCUAAUAUCUACGAUACACCUACCCUCAUUCCUACAACAUUAGAUAAUGACAUAUAAAUUAAAUAUAAUUUAUAUUCAGUCCUUUAUUAUUUUUAUUAUGACCAUAUUUGACUAAAUAUAUGAAUAACUAUAUUCCUUAAAAAUUAUUUGGCCAAUAUAAUAAAAUAAAUUGCCAGGUUAUAUUACUUGGCUUGCAAUUUGAAUAUUGCAUGUACAUGCUUUGGGGUUGGCUGGCCUUUAAAUUUACAAAACUAACCUUUAAGUUUUAAGAGUUUAAAUGCAUGGUAAAUACUACUAAUAUGUUAUGAAUAAAAUUUAUUAUCAUUAUAAUUUCACAAUUGUUAAGAAACUUUUAAAAUAAAAUAAAACUAAAAGAUGAGUGGAUAUGGAUAUGGAUUUAGAUAUUAAGAUAGAUCCAGAUCUGCUCCAGAUCCGUCUUAGAUCCGCACAUCGAUACCCAAAUCCGAUCCAAAUCCAUUUUAAACCGAUCCAAAUCCGAUCCGAUUGGAUUUGGAUCACGUGGAUCUUGGAUCAGAUCCAAUCCAUUGCCAUCCCUACUUAUGUUAUUGUAGGAAUCAGUAGAAACACCGAGAGAUUGUAUUUCGAUAUCUUUCAUUGAGAUUCGUUGUCAAAGAGGAAAAAAAAAAACUCAGGAGAGUGCCCAAAAUAAUAGUAUUUUAUUAAAUUGCCCUUAAUGAUAAAUUAUAUUAGUGUUAUUUUAAUAAUUGGUAACUCAUGUGUCCAAUAACUUUGGGUGUAUGAGUUCGAGUUCUAGUAAUUGCUAGGACUCGACUCUCCCUUGAUAGAGGUUUAUUUGACUCUCCGCUUUAGGGAUAGAAUAAAUUUCCCUCCCAUAUUAAAGUGAGGAUUGUUGUUCGGGCUGUGUCAUCUUAGAAUUAUAAAGGAGAGUCCCGAUUGUUAUUUGGUUGUAAAAAAUAUGUAGAGUUCUGAUUGUAAUAUAUCAUUACAUAAAAAUAAUAAUAUUAAAAAAAAUUUCUAUGGGUGAGUUUUGGGAUAGACAUGAAAAAUAAAUUAUAAAGUAUAGAUAUUUUUGAGAUUAGCAAGUAAUUGAUUUAAUUCAGAUUUCUCCAUUAAGUAAAAAGUCAAAAAAAUUGACUUAUUUUAUUAAGUCAAAAUUAUCUAAAAAGUCUCAUUAAAUUAUAAAAACAAACACCUCUAAUUAAUUUAAAUAAUUAAAUUAAAUCACUUUAAGUUAUUAAAUUAAAAAAUAAACACCACCUGAAUUUAUUCAUAUAUAUUAUUUUUCAAGUGAAUAUACAGCUUCACCCUGUGAACUUUUAUGUGUUUAUUCUUUUAGAGAAAUAAUUAUUUUAUUCUGAUAUUUUUUUAUAUGAAUGAUAUUAGUUGACUUGAUUGCUGCCACAUUACCCACCACGUUCAAACAAAACCCAACUACGUAGAUAUGCAUCAAUGACUUUCGCCGACUAAGUAAUAAUAAAACUUGACUAUGCUUCAUAAGUUGAGGCUAUAAAGCCACCAGCGUAAGCCUUAUUUCUUUGUCAUUUAAUACAUUAAAGAAGAAUCUAAAAAGAUGACUAAUUCAUUAAUGCUUUUUCACACUAUAAUUUUAAUGAUUUGUCACGACAGCUACCCUCACAAAAUUCAAACCCAAAAGGUGUGAUAUUACAGCAACGUAGCCGACUGCCGAGUGCCUACCGGCCACUUCAUCACUCAAAAACUAAAUAAUGAAUGAUAUUUGCAAAUUAAAAAAAGAUCACUGAACGUAUAUAAUGAUAGUUUUGUCGGCACUCAGAAAAUGGUGCCAUGUAUACCAAUUGAUGAUGUGGAAAUUGCCUUCUCCUCUACAACCACCACGAGCUUGAUCGCAACUUUGAUGGGAAAGAAUUGGGGGAAAAAGCAUCAAUGUUUCGCCCGGUGGAACUUCUAAUUUCUCAUGCGUGAUUUUAAUGUUUGCGGGGCUUUGUUCAGAAAGCUGAUAAAUCUGAAAGCAUUACCGUGCAUUUGAAAACGGAAAACCUAUUCAAAGUUUCUCCAAAGUGGAUAUUUAUACAAAGAACAAGCUGUUAAAAUUGAUAUUCUUUAGGGAAAAUGAAGUGCAAGAAUGUAAACUCGGUAUGCCCACAUCAAGCACCAAGACAGGAGAUUACUCAUCAUCCUUGUAUGGAUAUUCUUCUGGGACUUGCUUCAGAAGUUUCACCUGCAGCUCAUAUGCAUCAUCCCCUCGAAGCACAUCGCGGAUCCAAGUAACUUCAGUUUUCAUUGAAACCUGCAAAUAGAAGAAAAUUCAGCACGCCAACACUUGACAAGGAAGAGAAGAAAAACACAAGAGGUAAAAAAUAUGUGGGCACAAGCACCAUCCAUGUUUUCUCAAGCUACAGCACUGAGCACACGUAGAACAUAAUAAGUUGAAAGACAAUAUGGACCAUUCUACCCUCAACUCAACCCAAGCCCAGGUCUCACUCUAUCAAUAUGAUGGACUCCUUCGAAAAUCAGAUCCUUAGAUAAAAACAGAAAAGAAAGAACUAUAUUUUUACAGCAAACAAUGGGAUCAAAUAGUAAAGAAAUGAGACGUCAAUACCGUAAGGGACACAAAUCCUCUUUCUUAAUCUCAUUUCUUACAUUUACAGUAAGGAGAUGCCCGAACCAACCACACAACAUAAAAGCAAUAUAAGAGGUUUAGAGAUUCAUAAUGUUCACUUCCAUUAAAACAGAAUUUUCUAAAAAGCUUCCAUCUAGGAGACACACUUAUCCAUGUUGAAUUCAUCCACUAGUAACAUCCUCGCUUAGUAUACAAAACAAUGUCAAAUUAUUGGCACAUAGCCUUGCAAUUUCAGCAGGUGGCAUGCAAGAGUCUAAAAGUAGUACAUAGCACACCACAAUUAAACAAAAAAAAAUAAGAACUCUUAAUACAAGGAAUAGCACUCACCAUCUCUAGGGCCCCUCUAAUGACUCCACUCAAGAUGUUGCAAUAAUAAAGGCCUUGACAAGUAUCAGGAAGCUCAACAAAAUCCACCAGAGGAUUAUCUUCCAAAAUUAUACUGCAACAUGUCCCAUCAGCAUCCCAGUUGCUCACGGUUGCAGUAACCCCUAAAAACAUUUUGAAACCCACCUGUGUUCAUCAGAGAUCAUUUGAAUUGAGCCAUUUUGUUUUCAGAAGUAGAGACUGAGAAAGUAUUUAUGAAUCAAAAGGUUGGCUUUAUGAAUCAAAACACAUCAACUAAAUACAUGUCAUAGAAAAGCCAAAGAAUCCAAGCUGAAAAGAAAAUGAAAAGAGUACAACAGAACCACCAGUAUCAGAAUCUGUCUAAGGCUGAUAGCUGACAGCUUUAAUUACUUUUUUGAGCGUCAAUUGAAUCCAGUCCAAAAUUCUGUAGAUUUCAGAAGGACAAUCCAGCAAUGGCGCUGAGUGGUCUUUCAACUAUAGGCCUAAUUAUUACUUUGAAGAGAUGCCCAACAUUAUAAAAAGAAUUCAACACAAAUGGUAACCUCAUAACUGUAUUUUCACUACACUCCACACAUCUGUGGCUUUCCUAAAGUAGAACUACAGAAAUCUGCAUCUAAUAAAGUAAACUACAUCCAAUUUGUUAUAGCUAAUGCCUCAACAAUUUAAUCGAUUAAAUAAGAAUACACCCAAAAUCUUCAGAUAUACUCCUUCAGUAGCAUUUCAGCAACAUCUUAGCAAAUCUGUUCGUGAUAAAGCAUAAAAUUAUCAUCAUGCAUUCUCUACAUUCACAUUGGAAAAAUAAAAGGAAUAAAUUUGUAGACUAAUGUAAUUAUCAGUACACAGUUCGGCAAUAUUUUACAUUACAGACACACUAACAAAGCAACAUCAUUUAGAAUUUGAAAAAGUCAUUGAAAGGCCUCAAACAAUUCCAACCUCGUGUUUAAGUUCAGCUCAACUUGGCUGGGGAUUUGGUUCUAGUUAAAUAAGCACAAGUUCAAAUUAUAAAGCCUCUAUAAUAGAAGAUUCAAAUCCACCUGAAUUCGACAUUACCUAGGAGAAUUCCAAAUAAAUCCACCGUUUCUUUUAGGGAAACAACAGAAUAAAAUUUAACUUGAAACAUAUUUCAGCAAGUACCCAAAAUCAAACUGAGGAACCACAACUUUCAAUAGAAAAAAACACAAACGUCUUUGAUAGGCCACAUCACAUCAAAUUUUUUAAUAACUGCAUAACAGAAAUGCCCAACCGCAUAUGUAUAAAGAUCAAAUCAUUGACAACUACGUUAAAGCGGUGCUCAAAUUGACAUAUUUCUAGUACCAUCAUAGUAUAUACCAUGAAUCAACAUAGAUUGUUAUGCAUGAAUCAUCAUAGACUGUUAUGCAUGAAUCAUCACAGACAGAGAAUAAUAUACAUCUUUCGUACAUCCACAAACAGACACAGUUGCACCAUAUUGAUAUACACAAUUGAUAGUAAUAACAAUCUAUGUGACACAGGAAAGUGAAAAUAAUUCAUAAACUGAUAUAAAGAAGCCAUAUUUUGGCUAGAAGCAAGGGUAUUAACAGAUUUCAAAACAACUAAGAUCAAUAAAUUUUUUACUUCAUAUUCACUAAGCUGUGAAAACAGACCUUUGCAAUCACUUCAGCAGUCUCCCUGAAGUCUACACACCUAGUGACAUUAGAUUUUGCUAGAAACUCAUCAAUCAGUCGAAUCCCAAUAUUAUAGCCCCUGCAACAAAAUUCAGUACAAAGGAAUCAUGUUCUAAUCUAGUCAUAUAAUCCUAAGAACUCCAUCAAAUUCUGGUCUAGUACCAACUUCAAGAUGAUUUAUUAAUACAAAAUUGAACUUCAAUUCAAUAACAGAGCUUUUCAAAGAUUAUCAAAUGCUUGCUGAUUCUAUUCUCUUUCUUUCUUUAUUUUUUCUUUAUUUUUAUCAAACACAAAACAGCUUAUAGUAUAAAAAUGCAAAUUCCUCGAAACGCUACAUAUUUUUCCCUAGUACCUAAUCAUUCACUCCAAAUUAAAAUUUUCCAAUGAAUAUUACACGAAAAUGAAAUUGAAAAUGCGCACAUUUGAUCAAGCUGUUUGUUAACUUCCUCAACCUCCUCCAGAUCCGUAAGCAGCUGACGCACAGUGGCGCCGUAAGUUAAUGUAAACAGCUCAGCAUUCUGCAGAAAUCGGAAUUUCAAAAUACGAGCAGUUGUUAAUUCAACACAAUUAUUUUCGAAAAUGAAAAAAAAAUAAAUUCAGAGAUUUUAAGAGGAAUUAAAUCAAACGGUUACCACGCGUUCCACGUUGGCGAAGAUUGCGUCACCGGAUCGAGGACCAACGGGAGCCAUUAUGAGAUCUCUUCAAAGCGAUAACUAAAUUUGAUCACCAGAAUUUAUAGGUUUUUUUUCUUCUUCCUCCUUCGCUCGUCUCAAUGUCUCAGUGCAAUACCAAUGAGUCGACCGAAAGUAUCUUGUGUGAAAAUAUCAUUUUCUCCUCAAAAUGCACCAGUUCGGGUUUGACCCACCCGGUUUUAAAUCUGGAUCCACCCACGCCUCAUUUCGGUUUUCAAAUACCAAACCAAACCAAACCCACGCCACUAUUAAUUUAUGCUGCGCUUCCUUGUUAGUAUUAGAAUGAAGUGCAAUUAAAAUAGGUUAGAAUAAGAAUAAGUUAGAAUGAAAAUAUAAAAUGAGAAUUAAAAUAAAUUAUUUAUUUUAAUUGUAGAAAUUGGAAUGAGUUGAAAUUCUAUUAAUAUGUUUAUUUUAUCUUAAAAUCGAAAUCAGAAAAAGUUGAAUUAUUUUAAGUUAUUAAAAUGUCCUUAGUUAAUUAUAGUAGUAAUACUACUAUUUUUAUUAUUAUGAUUAUAAAAAUGAUUGUUAAUGAUGAUAAUAAUAAUAAUAAUAAUUCAUAUUAAUAUUAAUAACAUUAUUAAAAAUAAUAUUAAUAAUGAAAAUAAUAAUAAUAAUAUUAUUAUUAAUCAAUAUUUCAAUUCAAUCGAAGCUUGUUUGAAUCAACAUAAUAAAAAAAUAAUUAUUGACUUCAUAAAACUUAAAACAUUUUAACUUUUGCCAUUUAACACUUUCUUUUACCAUGUUUCCAGCACAUAUGUUAAUUGAGAUUGAGCACUAGAAAUUACUGACUCCAGUGACAUCCUAAAUUCAAAAUGAUGCCACCGCUUUGCAAAUAUAAUUUCAAAAUGUUGUCUAGUACAACAUUUGUUCUAGUAACACAUAAUACAAAUAUAAAAUUAAAAAUUCCUAUAUAAUAACUACAUAUAAUAGAAAUAGAGGUUUAAAAUUCUAACAUAGAACAACAUAAACUGAUACCGGAUUAUAUCCCAUGACGAAACAUUUGAAGGAUAUACCGCUUCCUAUGGUGAUUAGGCAUAGUAAAAAAUACACGUAUUAGAUCGAGCUUCGUGGCCAUCAUAGUAGUCGCAUCAUACAUCCCGUCCUCAGUUAAGCCUUCAAUUGUUGUCAUCCCAUCAUACAACUUAACCUGAAAGUUAGCCACAUCCUUGUCUGCCGUAGAAAGCACAUUAAACAACUUGUCUAUCUUAGGUACCAUCGCUGCCACAGUUUCAGUUAUUGUCCCAAUACUUGCAUACAUACAAUCAAUUGUUCUCUCCUUAUUUUUUUCUUUUCCUAUACCUAUUGGUUGAACUACUUAGAGCAUUUUCUACUUUUUGAGGAACAUGUGACUGAGGGGUAAGAGACAUAUCAUCAAUAAAAUCAUCCAUUAUAGGCUCAUUAACUAAGUGACUUCCUACAUUCACAUCAACAUUGUCCUCUUCGUAUACCUCUCAUCCUUGUUGUCAUCUGCAUUUCCUGCAUUUGCUCCGGUUGCUCGAUCUGGACCAUAUGUCAAAGUGAAAGUGUAAUAUGCGAGAAUGAUUUGUUAAACAAACCAUUUUCAUUCUUCCUUUUUUGUUAAAAAAAUGUUGCUAAUAACAUAAAAUCAAGACAAGUAAUAAAAUUAACACCAUACAAUUCAAAGAUCACCUCUGUAAACUCAUCGAAAACAUUCUUUUCACACAAGAUCAUCAUCUUGUCGUUAUCAAAAUUAAACCCACUCAUAGAUAACAUAUAAGACAUAACACACCACUUCUAUUUAAACCAUUUCACUCUUGAUUUGAUGUUAGGAGAUGCUUUCAAACCACAACCCAACUAUUCUGCUUCCAUUUUGUUUUUCAGUUGUUCUAAGAACCCAUUCUUGAAUCCACAAUUUGAUCGCCACUUAGGAUUUUGACCUAACUCAAACAAGUCAAUCAAUGCAUUAUCUUCAGUUGUUGUCCAAUAAUAUUUGUUCAUACCUCAUCCUCUAAGAGUUGGAGUUGGUAUGUCAGUCAUUCUAUAUAUUCAAAUACAAUAAUAAAAAUCAAAUGUAAAAUAAUAUAUAUAUAUAACAAAUGUCCAUCAACAAUACAAUAUCCAAAUGUCAACCAACAAAUGCAAUAUCUAAAGUCAAUCAAGAAAUACAAUAUCCAAAGUCAAAUAAUAAUACAAUAUCCAAAGCAAACAACAAUAUCCAAACUCAAAUAACAAUACACUAACAAACAGUAAUAAACUAACUCCUUACCAUGUCUUCCACAUCUCUUAAGCUAAAUCUUGCCUCCAAAUAGUCCAUUUAUUUGAGGGCUCAACGGUAUCAAUUACCUCCAAGUUAUAAUCAAUAUUGGGAGUUGGUUCAUUAUUUAUUUCCACUUCUAUAUCAUCAAUAGGCAUUUUUGUUCUAAUGAAGUUAUGUAGCAUACAACAAAAAGAUAUUAUAAUGUCUUUAUAUUUUGAUAUCAUAAAAGAUAGGAUUUCUUAGUAUUGCCUAUUGCUUCUUUAAUAACCCAAAAUAUCAUUCAAUCACAUUACGAGCACUUGAGUGCUUCAUAUUAAAGAACUCUUCAGGUGUAGAAAGUUGGUGUUCAUCCCUAAAGUCACUUAAAUGGUAACAUUGUCCUUUAGAUGGUGAAAGAAAACUCAUCCCAUUGAUGUAACCACAAUCAAUCAAGUAAUAAUAACCUAAUAGAAAAAAUGAAAUAUCAUCAUAUUAAAAGGCAUAACAUAAAUUAUGUAGUCUUAGAAUCUAAAGAUAAUUUUAGUUAGCAGAAUGUUACCAUGAGGGACUUUUAAACCCUUUGUUCUAAACACAAUAUCUUUUAACAUGUGCAUAUUGUGAGUCAAAACUUCUCAUCCUGGUAAGACAUAAAUAAAUUGCAUAUCUUGUGAACAAACUCCUAAGACAUUGUUGUAAUUUAAUUUUUCCUAGUUCUAUAUUUUGGUUUAUCAACCUCUGGAACAUGAACCUUUAUAUAUGUGUCAUCUAAUGCUCGCAGGCAAUUCUACAUUAUAAGAACAAUAACAAUAUGAAAAUUUUUUAAGUCAAUGUACACAAUUGUAUGAGUGAGAAGUAGGUGUCAAAGUAACAUUACACGUAACUUAAGCCAUUUCGAUGUUGGGUCGGUUGAAUUCUCUAUCAUCGGCUCAGGUUUUUUUCCAAAAUGGUUUUUGACAUCUAAUCAUUGCCUUUAAACUCUCAUGGUAAGCGUCUCCUCGGGUGUCACAUGUUUACUACCAGCCAAACCUCCUUUCUCACAAAGAAGCUUACAUAAUUUGCUAAGGUUUGCCUAUCCAUUCUUAAUUGUGACAAGCAUUUAACAUCACUUUUAAAAACCAAGUCAUAUAAAAAGCUCAAUUGUUGAUAAAGUCUAUAGUGUGACUUGGGAUUUUUCGAUCUUUGUUCAUAAGUUAAACAAAGAUGGGAACACAUAGCAGUACACACAGCCAUAAUUAUUGGCAACAUUGUCAACAAACUUUGUAUAACUACCAAGACUCUCUUCUUUCUUGCUAACAAACAAGUCAUUCCUAUAUUUCAACAUCACAAAUGAAGUCAAUCAAUAUUAAUGAACUUACAGUGUUAAAAAGCAUUAAAGACCUCUGGAAUAGAAAAAAGUGUGUAAAAAUAUAACUUAGUCUGAAAAGUAAGGUUAAAAAAAUUCUAAGAAGAUAAAAAACAAGAAAUAUAUUAUUAAUAAAAGAACAAGAUAGCAUUUGAAGAAUUGAUAAAUGAUUUGUUUUUAAAAUCAUGCCUAGGUGUAUUAAUAACACAAAGUAUAUUAUUAAUAAAAGAAUAAAUGAUAACUUUGUGCCAGUGUUUUCUUGUAAUGAAGAAAUAAGAGAGAGAAGACUUGAGGUUGAAUUAUAUAUUAAUUAGUUUACACGUACUAUUUUCAUAAGGAAUCUUGAUACAACAAGGGAUUUCUUAUCAAAUAAGGAGAAUAAUUGUCAAUUUUAGUAAGGAAUCACAUGAAAUUCUUGUAUAAUAAUCUUGAAAUUAAUGGAUAAAUUUCACCCUGAGGCCCUGAUAACUUUCCUACUAUUUGCAGCAAGAAUACAUAGAGAUAAAAAGGACUCUAGCUUUCAAUGGCUCCUAUUCCCUUUAUGUGUUGACAUACAUAUGUAAGUGUAGCUAAUUAAUUAGAGGACUCUAAUUAAUUGUGUGGGAUACAAAUUAACAUUGCUAAAAUAUUAGACAGUGACAUACCAAUUAAUCAUUUAUAUAUAUCUAUAUGGCAUUCUUUAAUUAACAUUUCUUUAAAUUACAUAAUCAGUGCUACAAAUUAAUGAAAGCAAAAUUAGUAGAGGGUAUAGUUCUAGGUUCCAAUUUUUAAAAAGUGCUCUGGAAAUUUUUCUCUUGUGAGAAGCCAAGUAAUCGUAACUGGGAAGCCUCAACUAGCCUCUUAUUUCUGGAAUAUCUAUAUUUUAAAAAAUAUCGAUUAUUCUUUUUCUUUUAUUUGUUAAUUAUGUAUUAUUUACUCUUCAUUAUUUUAAUCUUUUUCACUUGGCUAUAUUAAUUUAUUGAAUUUACAUUUAUAUUGCAACAUAUGCUAAUGAUGGACCAUAAUCAAGCUGCAAGCAUAAUCAUUUUUCCCUCAUUCUUUUUGCACAUGCAUAUUUUUUCUUGUUCAAAUUAUUAUUAUUAUUAUUUUUAAUCAUCGCUCAAAUCUUAUUACAGUGAAAUUAAAGCAGCAAUGUCAUUUUAGAAGACCUAAAAUAAUGGCCGAAAAGCCUACCACGUCUUCUCAAAUUUUCCCUAGCAAAUAGUAAUAACCAGUCGAAGUCACAAACUAGCCCCUCAAACUCAACCUCAACGAAUCUAAUAAAAAAAGAACCCAGAAACCAAAUCAAGUGGUUUAUCCAAUGACUCUUACCAGAAACAAUCUCUUGAGAACAAGUUUCACUUGAAAUUCAUAGUUUUACCCAUUUAAAAAAAAUAUCAAAACAAAUUAGCAUAUGGGUCUUUUUUUGAUGAAAAUAUUUCAUUAUAUUUUGAAGAAAAUAGUUAUCAAAAGUUGAAGAAAAAAGUCAUAAAAAAGAACAAGAACAAAAGAUGAAAAUAUUUUAUUAUAAGAUAUGGAAAAGGGAAAAAUGAAUCAUUUACUUGUUUGGAGAUACAGGAUCGACACCGAAGUAGGCGAGCAACAACGGAAAAGUAGCGCCAUCACCAACAACUGGCAGAGAAGAGCUACAGUGUCGAUGAGAGUGUGGCCGAGUUAGGGGAUUCAGGAGCACAUGCGUUUUUCUUUUUAAUGAGUUUUGGGCUUUCAUAUUUUGCGUUAAUUUAAAGGCUAAAAUUGUAAUUAUUGAAGUUUAUUGGGGGCAAAUUCGUCUCUUCAGUGUAAGGGGCUCUGAUUCUCAACCCCCCAAGGGCAUCGGAACUCUAUAUUUCAUUUUUAAAUUUUUGUAGAACUUAUUAUUCCUAUUCCGAUUCUUGUGUCAUUUUCAAAAGUAAACAAGGUAAUGAAACACAUUCCUAUUCAUCGAUUCUCAUUCAUGGGAAAUAAACGCAACAUUAAUUCUUCUAUUUGCAUUGUUCCCAUUUUUUGAGAAAAUAAAUUGUUACCAUUUUUAAACUUUUGAGAAGGAAAGUAUAAGAAAAGUUUUUGUUGGGCUAUGAUUUUCGUUGUUUAUGAUUCCACAUGAAGGAGUAUUUAUGACCUUGGCUUCAUUUGGUAUAAUAUUUCAAACAAAACUUAUUUAAAUAAAAUUUUUAUUAGCAAAAGUUUUAUAACCAGAACUUUUACAAAAAAAAAAAAUUAUUUGUUAAUGAAAAUUUGAAAAAUUAUUUUAAUAGGUAAAAUUUUAAAUUCAUAUUAUGAAAUAAAUGAAAUAAAAUUGUCAAAUAAGUAAAUGAUGUUUUAAACAUUUUACAUUUUAAAAAAAGCUUUUGAAUCUCUACUCGCAAAAGCCUAAAAUUUGAGUUUUUAGCUUUUUACCAGUAGAGACAAAAAUAACUUAUUUAAUUUUCAAAAACUCUACAAAAAAACCAAAUAAUAUUAAAAAAUUUAAAAAGCUUAUAGAAUCAAAUAACCACUUAUUUUCAUUAAAUAAGUUAUACUAAACAAAUAGUUAAGAGGCCAUAUAUUGUCAAAUCAAUUAGUUAAUAUAUUUUUUUUAGUAAAUUAGUAUUAUUUUAAUAUGUUAUUGGUAAAUAUUAACGCAUUAUUCUAUUUUUCUUGAUGUGUUAAAAUUAUCAGCUCUAAAUUUUCUUGAAAAAUUAUAAUUAUCAUAGCAUCUUCUUAAAGCUUCAAUUAUUAGUAAAAAUAAUAAAAAGUUACGUAGGUCAUAGCUAAUAUAAAUAUUUAAUUAAUUAUAAAUUUAUAAGUUUUAUAUUCUCUAAAAUAAGUAGAUAAAUAUUAAAUAAAACGUUAUAUAAUUUUGAAACAAACAAAGUUACUUGAAAUGUAUUCUUAAAAUACUUUUUCAAUUGCUCUCUUUCAUUGUCCCUAUAUUUUUAGAUAAGCAACUAAAUACAUUUUCACUUUUUUUUGGUAGAUAUUAUCUUAAAAACAUAAUAUAAAUGUUUUUUUAAUUUCACUAAAAACUAAUCAUUUCCAUUUUAUGAAACAAAUAUAAAGAUGCCAUUUCACACCAAAAAAAGGCACCCUAAAGUAUAUAAUAAUUAUAAAUCUAUCUUACUCUUUAAAUAUUAAAAUUUUUAUUGUAGAUAAAAAACAACUAUUGACUCUUUAAAGAAAAGAUUAUGUGAUAUAUUUUUAACGAUAUGUUUACUAAUCAGCAAUGGGAAUGAGAAUUACGAAAUGGAAAUGAAUAAUAUGUUUACUUACUUAAAUGAGAUAAGGAAUGAAAAUGAAUUUCACAGAGCAUGCACAAUAUUAGGAUUCAUUAUUGGAGUUACGAUUCCUAAGGGGUUAGGAAGUAGAACCCCAUUCUCAUAAUCGACUAAGAUACCCUCAACUAAAUUUUCAAAUCCCAACUUGUCCUCAAUUGAAAUACAAAAAUAUAAAAUGAAAAAAAGGGAAUGAGAAUCACCAAAUCCCUAAUUCAUUUGAACAUAAAAUCUAACUAGCAACUGUUGUUGAUUGCAACAUUAGAAUCGCAUUGCCUUCACAGAGCCGCUCAUUGCUAUUACAUUGGUAGUCGUCAACCUCACACCAAAGCAAGUCAUCACCGGUCAAGCAUUGUUGCUACUGAAUACCAAAUAAUGCUGGAAUAUGGAUUGUGAUUGAUUUGAUUAUAAUAACUAAUACGAUCGAAAUAUGGAUUGUGAUUGAUUUGAUUUUAAUAGCUAAUCCGAUUGAUUUGAUUUUAAUAGCCAAUCCGAUCAAACCAAAAACAUAAUAUAUUACAAACCCAGAAGGUAGAAUUCAACAUAAAACUCACUCUUAAAAUUUGGAUUGUAAGAGGAGGGUGUCAUAGAGAAAUUAAAGUAUUAACUAAUCUCAUACCUAGUUGAUAUAGGAUCCUAACAUUCCACCAUCUUUUAGGAUUGACGUCUACAUCAUUUCACGCACCCUGACUAAGUGACACCUCAAGAUCACAAAGCCAUGACCACUAUGGCAAGGGCCAACUUCAAAGAAUCGAACUACUUUGAUACCAAUUGUUACAAACCCAUAAGGUAGACCUCACUCUUAAAAAUCGGCUUUUAAGAGAGUGCUUUACGGUUAAUAAACUACCAACUAGCACCAUACUUAAUAGAUGUGGGAUCUUAAAAUCUUAAUAGAAUCGAAUACCAAAACAAUCAUCAUUAUUGGUUCUUCUUCUUCUUUUUUUGUUAUUAUUAUUAUUUUAGUUAUCUAACUAUUGUUGUUGUUUUUAGUCAUUAUUAUUAUUGUUAAUCAUUUGCUAUUAUUUUUAAAAUUAUUUAUUAUUUCAUUAUUAUUAUUAUUAUUAACAAUAAUUUUUUGAAUAAUGAUAAUGAUAAUAAUUAAUUAAAGACCAAUAUAAUAAUGAGAAUACAUACUAUUAUCAUUCUGUCAUUUCAAGACCCAUGACUUAAAAAAAUAAUUUAUUUUAAUUCUGAUUCAAAUUAAUUUUCAUUUCAAUCCAUUCGAUUAUGUAAUAGUGAAGGCACAUUAAUUCUAACUCUCUUUAAUGGCAAAAGAUGUGAAGGUGUUAAUUGGAUAAAGUUAUUGAUUUUUCUUUUUUGGGAGAAAAUAGGAGGAUAUAACUAAUUAAUUGCUAAGUGGAUGGUGACUAGGGUUGGCAAUUUAAGGGCCUGGGCCGGGCUUUGCCAAGCCCAGGACCAGGCCCAUAUAAUGUUAAAUAAGUCCAGGCCCUCUCAAAGCCCAUCCAAGUUGAGCGGGCUUUGGGCGGGCCGGGCCUUGACGGCCUGGGUCGGGCCGCGGGCCAAGCCCGGGCUUUUACGAAAUUUUAAAUUUUUUUUUAAAAAAAAAUUAUAAAAUUUCAAAACAUAAUUAACCAAUACAUAAUACUACAAUAGGCUAAAAACUUAAAUAUAAUUCUCUAAUACAUGAUUAGCAACACAAAAUAUAAAAAUACUAACAAUACAAAUACCGUACACAACGUACAAAUCAACCACUAAUAUAAAAAAAAAUUAAUAGAGAUUUACCGAUUUAGGAAUUUUGACAUUUUGUGACAAAACCUUUGCCCUUUCCCUUUGCCCGAUUUUUUUAUUAUUUUGUUUAAUUAUUUUUUCAAUUUUAUAAUAUAUUAUACAUUUUUUAAUAUAUAUAUAUAUUAUACAUAUAUAUAUAUUUUAUAAUACAUAUAUUUAUUUUGUAAAGCAAUUAAUUUUUUUUCCAAUUUUAUAAUAUAUUAUACAUUUUUAAAUAUAUAUAUAUAUUAUUUAUUAUUUAUUAUAAAGCCCAGGCUCUUUUCAUUUAGGCCCUUGACUGAGCCCAUAUGUUAUGGGCUUUAUUAACUUUGAGCCCUUACCCAUAAUUUCAAGCCACGGGCCGGGCUUAAAGCCCGCGGGCCUGGGCAGGGCCGAUGUGGGCCUGGGCCGGCCCGGGCUUUUCUGCCAACCCUAAUGGUGACAAACCCACGCUCAUGUAUGAAGCAUGGCCGCGUGCUAAUUUGAUUUCGUUUCACCAUAAAGAGUGAAAGACAUGAAACUAGUAUUUCAAAACAUCAUGCAAUAAACGUAUUAUAUUAUUUGAGUAUUUGACUAUUCGUAUUAACACACCUAGUUGACUUCGAAGAAAUAAAUAAAAUAGAACUAUACCUAACUUCUUAUACGCUGAAAAAGUAAUAAUUUUGGAUAGCCUAAAUUUCCUAUUAUUUUUAGUGAAUUGAUUAUUUUUAAAAAUUUAAGUUAUUAUUAUUUUUAGGAUAAUUAUCUACCAUCGAUUUUUUUUUCACUUUUUCAAAAAUAAACAAUUCUUUUUUUUUCCUGAGCUCCAAUUGAAGUUAUAUUUUUUUGCACUUAUCCACUACCGUUUUCUAACCAUUACGAAAACUAACGGAAUUUUAUCCAAAUUACAUAGGUGAAAUUACCAUUAUAUCCUUAUGGCCUCAAAAAGUCUUAACGGUUUGAAGACGGUAGUGGACAGGUGCAAAAAAAAAUAUAACAUUAAGUAGAAUUCAGUAAAAAAAAUUAAGAAUUGUGUAUUUUUGAAAAAAUACGAAAAAACAGGUGGACAUUGGAUAAUUACCCUUAUUUUUAUUGUAAAGAUAAGGGGAAAAUGGGAUUGAGUUGAUUUUUUGUUGUUGUUGAUAUUCUUAGCAAAAAAGAAGGUAAAUUAUGGUUUUAAAACAUGAGAGGAGAGUAAUAUAAAGAUAGUCAAGUCAUGAUAAGGUUAUUCCAAAAUUAAUCCUUUUAUAUAUACAAUUUAUAAAUUUCAAAUUAGAUAGUCUCAUGCUAUAGAUUGAUCAUUGUAGUAGAUUUAUUACUAUACCAUGUGGUGGAGCUGACUUUGAUGUGGAGGGUGCAUUAAACAAGUUGACAAUCAUCUCGAAUGGAGCUUGAAUUUAUUAUACACAUAUUGAGUGGAGAUAUCUUUUGUUGAUGCCUCAAGUACACAAAUUUAUUUUGUACACAUUAGUAAAUUGUUGUGCGUGGAAAUACGGAAUGAAGCGCACCAUAUAAUCAUAGAAAAUAAAGGAUACAAGAUUUAAUGUGGUUUGAUAAUUUUGUCUAUAUCCACGAGAGCAAGAGAAAAAUAAUUGUAUUACUAACAAUUAUUAGAGCAUAAUACUUGAGUAAAGAAACCUCACUUUUCUAAACCCAAAUACACCCAAUACUUUCACAGAUAAUUAAAAGGAGAAAUAUCUCAAAUAUAUACACACUCUCCAAUUGUUCAUUCUCUUAACAAUUCUAUAAUUGAAUUGUUAUUCUCUCAAAUUUUAGGAUGCUUUACAAAUGAAAAACUCUAUUUAUAGGAAAUAGUUUGCACUAUUACAAAUUCGGUACGCACCAAAAAUUUACCAAAUUGUCAAAGUUGUUGUGAAUUUAUCAAAUUGUCACAUGCUUCACCAACUCAUUUGGCUUCAAUUUCAAUGAUCCAGCCACAUGCUUCAUCAAUACUUCCAAUAUUAAGGCUAGAAGGUCAUGCAUGUCAACAUUUUUUUUUUUUUUUUACUUUUCAACAUAAGUUACAAUUGGUGUACUAUAAUGAAUUACUAUAAUUUGAUUGUACAUGCGACUAUAUAAGGAUAACAUUGUUCCAUUAUACAUUGGGAUAGUAAUGAGAUUUGUUUUCUAUGUUUAAAGUAACAUACAAAAUGGAAUAUCAAAAAGUAACUUGUUUGUCAAACUUCUUAAAUACAAGAAUAAUGCACGAAACAUUUAAACAAAUUUGCGCACAAACUAACACAACAUAUGAUAUUAUUAAAAUUCAUAGCUUGAUUGAAAAUUCUCUAACUCUAAUGGACUAAUUUCUUUGCAUGAUCAAUAAAUCUCAAUGUUUUUUUUUUUAUUUUAUAAAAAAAUUCACAACAUAAAUUAUUAAUCUAAUCAAGAAUUUUCAAUCCCAUGUUCUUUUCGUAAUUGAAUUUUUUCGUACUCCAGAAUCUCGGUAGUUUGAUUCAUUAUAUUAAUACAGUUAAUAUACACAUCAAAAGUUACAUUUUUCUUUUCAAAUUAACUUAUUUUUAAUCGUUUUUAAAAUAAAUUUAAAUAAAUCUUUAAACUUAAAUGAUGAAAAAAAAAACCAUGAGAAACAAGCCAGCGUGGCACACUCGUAUCAAGCGCGCGUGGUAGACAAUAAAACCAUAUGCCAAACAGAUAUCCGCUUCUGCUGUCAGCCAAGCAAGGAAUAUAGAAAAACUCAUCUCGGCGUGUGGGCCAGGAAAGGACACUUCGACGUUGAACACGUGGCAUUAUUCUAUUGGAUGGAUUUUGGGCAACAUCGUCAUUGCAUUGUCAAUGGCGGCUAUAAAUUGAGGACCUCGGAUCUCGUUUCCUGUCACCGUUUCUCAGAUAAUCUUCACCUUCAAUUUGAUUAAGGCCUUCUUUGAAUCUCUUUUUCAAGGUAAUAAUAAUUACUCUCCUUGUGUUUUGGUUUAUCUUUUCAUAUUAAUAUUUAGUUUAAUGAUUGAUUUGGUUGCCAUGAUGCGAUGUUUUGUCGAUUAAUUUGUGAAUUAGGGUUUGAUCUUUUGUUGUUCAUCUUCAUAUGGUGAUAUGUUAAUUAUUUUCUUUUGAUAAGCUGUGGAUAGGCGAUCGCUUAUUUGUUGUUUGAAUUGAUAAUUAUGGCCAGGUGACACUUAAUAAUCAGCUUUGUGGAUUUUAGUUAGGUUUUGAUUGGUGGAGUUUUAGUGCUCUUUCUGAGAUAAUCUUAAAAUUUUAGGUGUUUAAUAUGGGCAUACUUUGUAAUUCUAUAAGAUUUGUGGGGUAAAAAAAGAUCAACUCAAGUCUGGUGUUUAAUAUGGUUCUCUUUAAAAAAAAACGCGAAAUUGCGAAAUCUUUUGUUAUGGUGGUUGAUUGUUCUUGAAAAUAGCAUUUCGUCCCUUAAAAAAAAAGGCGAAAUCACGAAAUCUUUCGUUAUGGUGGUUGAUAGUUCUUGAAAAUAGCAUUUCGUCCUUAAAAAAAAAAGAAGUGAAAUCGUUAAAUCUUUCGUUAUGGUGGUUGAUUGUUCUUGAAAAUAGCAUUUCGUCCUUUUACCUUUGUCCGUUUAUAGUCAAUUUUUGCUCUGAGAAACCUGCACAUUGAUGGGAAGCAUAAAGUGUCUUUGAAUUAUGUAGUGACAGCAUCUUCUUCAACUCAGUGUUAUUGGUUAUGCUAGAUGUUGUUAUAUAUUUGCCUCUUUUGAGUUGUAAAUAGAGU